rnacentral:lncRNA from 1 species
UGGGAUAUUGUUACGUGCGGAUUUUACUCUGUGCGGCUAGAAGAUGAGAAGAUGCACUCCAGUGAAAAAGCAUGGGAGUUACUGGGUCCAAUCUACCUUUUGAAAAAUCUGGCGUUGACAUACUUGCGUGUUACAUGCGUACUGUAACACACCUAGUUGACAUCGGCGUAAGCAUCUGAUUUUUAGACUAAAAAAGCAACGGCUUGCGGUGCACGGAGCUAGGUAGUGGCCUGUUAAGAGAGGGACCGAAGGACUGUGAUAUUUGGCACAUGUGUGGGAGAUAGCAAAACUAUCACACCUCGUUUCUUCUAUAUAAUUACAUGCAUGCAUGUAUUAGAGUGACUUAAUCUUCAUUCACGUUCUUUCAUUCCUUUAAUUACGGACAUGCACUAGAUGAAAAAAAAACUGAUGUCAUCAUAGAUUCUCUCAUAUUCCAGAAAUUCAAAAUGUUUUGUAGCUCAAACCGUCAGUCCGAUGUAAAAACCGUUUUCAUAUAAAAGAUUCCUCGCGACGAGAUCUUCAAAACUAAAUCCCAUGUUGGUAUGUUUCAACAACUUUUUUGGGGGUCAAAAGUUACCACGCGUGGUGUACAUAAAUUACCACGCCUAUUCUAUGCAAUUUAUCAUAAUAUUUGCACAUAAAUUACCAGGGGCAUAAAAAUGGUUUUUCCACCUUUCACCACAUACAGAUGCAUAUGUUUGCACUAGAGGAGAAAAGCUUACAUCAUCCUAGCUUCUUUCCUAAUAUAAAAUUCAAUUUUUUUGUGGCUCAAACCGUCAGUCUGAUGCGAAAACGGUUACCAGGGUUAUGUUUUUCAACAAGUAUUUUCCUUUGGCAAAAGUUAUUGCGGUGUUUGUACGUAUGUUAUUGGGUCAAAAGUUACCACCCGGGGGUAUGCAACUUAUCAUGCUACUUUCACAUAAGUUACCGGAGGUGUGUUUUUCAACAACUACCUUUUUCCCCUUAGUCAAAGUUACUGCGGUGUUUUUACGUAAGUUACCGGUUAUGCAAUUUCUACAUUAUCGUGCUAUUCUCACAUAAAUUACCAGGGGUAUAUUUUCAACAACAACUUUUUCCAUUGGUCAAAGUUACCACGGUGUUUUGUACAUAAAUUAUUGGGUACGCGGUUCGUAUAUUACCGUGCUAUUUUCAUAUAAGUUACUGUGAUUAUGUUUUUCAACAACUUUUUCCCACUUGGUCAAAGUUAUCAUGAUGUUUGUAUGCAACUUGUCGGGUAUGCGGUUCGUUUAUUACCGUGUUAUUUUCACAUAAGUUAUUGGGGGUAUUUUUCAACAAAUCCACCCCACCCCCCCUAAGUUACCGUGGUGUUUGAAACUAAGUUAUUGAGUAUACGGUUCAUUUAUUACCGUGUUAUUUUCAAAUAAGUUAUCGGGGUAUGUUUUUCAACAAUUUUUUUUGCCUCCUUGGUCAAAGUUAGCGCAUUGUUUGGAUAUGUAGUGCGUAAAUUACCGUGCUAUUUUCACAUAACUUAACGGUGUUAUGUUUCCAACAACUUUUUUCUGGGGUAAAAAAUUACCGUGGUAUUUGCAUGUGAGUUAUCAACUCACUUGUGUGUAUAUUAGCAUGCUAUUUACACAAAAGUUACGGAGGGUAUAUUUCAACUUCUUUUCUGGGUUAAGAGUUACCCCCUUUGUUUGUAUGUAAGUUAUUGGAUAAGUAAUGCUUAAAUUAUCAUGAUAUUUACACAAAACUUAUCGAUGAUAUGUUUUUAAUAAAAAAAUCCCAUAGGUCAAAGUUGUCAUGAUGUUUGUGUAUAAUUUAUAAGAAAUGUACUGUAUAAAUUAUCAUGCUAUUUACAUAGAAGUUAUCGUGGUGUUUUUAUUUAGAAAACUCUAGUAAAAUUUAUCAUGGUGUUGCAAGUAAGCUAUCAAGUUUGUAGUGCGUAAAUUAUCAUGAAACACCAACAGAAGUUACCGGGUAUGUUUCAACAACUUUAAGAAUGUUUGUAUUCCUAGGUCCAUAAAGUUAUUUGGUCCAGUCUGCGUAAGUUAACGCACCAGCGGUAAGUAAAAUUACCAUGUUGUUUAUCAAAAAGACAACACACCACCACCCUAGAUCAACAACUGAUGAUCUCUAUCUCCUAACAGGCAAACUCCUUUUUUUGCAGGGGACCUAACAGGCAAACUCAACUCCAAGAUAGAGAAAAAAUAAUGCAAGGGGAUCUCAAGAGAAAUCUAACCAUAUCCCUCAAACUUUCUGCAAAAACACCUAAGGAAAGAACCUUUGGCAGAUCAAAGAGGCUCGCACCAAUACACUCAAGUAAAGUAAUAUGUAUUUACAUUCUUCAGUGGAUGUUGCCGCUGUGAUUUCCUCUCUUGCAUUCUUGACAAUUCUUUCUCUUUGACACAAUGUUACAUGCAGUUCUAGCUGAUUAUCUUACAUUCUUGAUCAUUUUUUUGCUUUGACACAUGUAAAGGCGUUAUCGCUCAUAAAAGUCCUUUCUAGACCUUCAGUUAUCCAAAUGACAUUUGGCAGUCAAACAUUCAACGGACCGAACCAGAAGCUAGCCAUGCGUGGCUGUAAUGUUGUAGCAAACUAGCAAGACGAAGCUCCGAUCCAAUGGUGAUGAUGUGGUCAAACAAGAAAAAUCUUUACAUAAAUUGUUGACACACACUGAUAACUGAACUCAACUUACCUUGGGAAUAGGAUCCUCCCUUGGGACCUGGAGAAUUCUCCAUCAGACUUGCGAGGAUCCUGCAAAACUAAGCAUACCAAGCAAGCGCGGGUGUGCGGCAAUGCAAACCACCGACUGUUGCAGUCCCUCGCAAACACUAGGGAAGGGGGAAUGGUCACCACACCCAACUCGCAUCUACACCACCGAGAGCAAGAGCAGGCAGGGUGGAGUGCGGCGGAGCUUAGCUCGGAUCAUCGGCGGCGGCUGGCUCGUCGGAGCAACGCAGACACAGUUGGGCGUUGAAAGGAGUACAGAGGGAGGCCAGGAGGCGGAGCUGCAUCCGUGUGAGCUCGGGCGUAGAGAGAGGAGGGAGGAGAUGGAGAGGAAGAAGGGAAGGAGAAGGGGCUGACGUGGGCAGGGACGCCGGCGACCGACGGCUGCCGGCACGGCCGGUGCCGAGUGCAUCGCGCAGGUGCACGAAGCCUUCUUGGCGGCACGAGUGGAGCGGGUGAGGGAGAGAGAUAACACGAGGCUGCCAUGCGGGAUCGAUCGUGUCCGCUAAAUUCAAAACGGACCUUGAUGAGAUCGUGCGGCAGUUUUGCAAUCUGCCACACAGUUGCCAGAUACAUAUUUCGUUUUGUAUUUCGGAGAGAUAUAUAAUUCAGACUGUACAAAAUAAUUCCCAAAGGUAAUAUGUUUUGCAGAGGUUUCCUCUAAUUGGUAGAUUACCUGAAGCAACAUCUAUAUCUAUAUCUAUAUCUAUAUCUAUACCUCUAUACCUACUAAUAAAGGGGCUAUUGCUUUUUACCACCGUAAUUUCGUCCAUUCUUUACCUGGUUUGGUACGUCAAUUUUCGUCCGUCACGCUGCUCAUAUGCUUCAUCCUCGAUACAACUUUGCGUACAGGCUGAGCUAAAUCGCCUGGGCCUUGCCCAAAAUCGGCCCAGGAAAAAAAUAUGACGCAAAAUCGAGAUCAGGCAAAAAGUAAACGUCUUCACGUUGGAUCGAACUCCCAACGUUGCACGCCAAGGCCCAAGGCUGCAACCAACAGAACUAAAGCAUCUGUAUGCAAACAAAAGGUUUGCUGCUUUACAAUCCGUUUGACCGAUUUAUAUAUGUUUUCAAUUCAAAAUCAAUAAGCAGCCUCAAGAAUUAAUGGCAACAAAGAUGGCUGACAUACGGCUUAGAUUUCAUGAGAUGAGAUGUGUGGCAUGAUUAGCGGGCAUAAAAUAUGGAAAGAGAGUUUCGCAAAAAGAAAGGGGAAGGAGAGGAUAAUGACCAUAUAAUACCAGCGUGUGAUCCUUGGGCAAAAAUAAGGAGGAAGGUGAGGAUAAUGACCAUAUAAUACCAACGUGUGAUCCUUGGGCAAAAUAAGGAAAGCGAGCUCCUAAAAAAAGAGAGAACGGCCUUGCAAAGAUAUUACGUGGGCUUAAAUAAGGAAGGAUAUAAUAAUAUGUUGCAAAGGAAUUAUAAUACGAGGGCAUGAUCAAUAUACAUAAAUAAGGAAGGACAGUUUGACAAUUAAGAAAUGACUUUAAGAUUUGAAAAUUAGGGGGUCCUUUAGGGUCAGAAUUGUUGUACAAAAAUUGUAUCAAAAGUAUUGUAUGUGUAAAAAAGUAUUGUAUGUGUAACUAACUAGGGAUUGUUUGUUCAAAUGCGAAGGAAUUAUAAUCCAUUAUUUCUAAUGUACUGGAGAUGGUCUAACAGAACCCUUUUCGUGAGAUUUUUUUUCAUGACAACUUACAAAUAAUGCCUUUAAGAUUUGAAAAUUAGGGGGCCUUUUAAAAUUAGAAUGGUCAUACAAAAAUCGUAUCAAAAGCAUUGUAUCCAAUGUAGAAUUGGGAAAAGACUUCCUCGCCUGCGAGCGUUGCAAUGCUCUGCAACGCAUCUGGGGACGAAGCCACGUAAAUCUCUUCUCACCCUAAUUAAUUUCUCUACCCCGGUGAAUUCAAGGAUGGGCCCACACUAAUUAAUCACCCCCAAUUCAAUUGUGGGGCCCACAUUAACUAAUUUCACCCACCUGAAUUCGCGUGAAUUAGCCAUGCCCGUUGGGCGCCUUCCUGCCGUUGUCUGGUGGCAUCAUUCGGAUGUUGUUGGGCCUUUCGAUGGAUACAUCAUUAUAUUUCCCGUUGCAACGCACGGGCAUAUGUGCUAGUAAAUAAUCAAGUAUUGUUCUCUCUUCCUCCUCUAGUUGCUGAUCCGCCUCACCUUCGAUGACCUUUGGGCCAUGGAGGUGCGGAGGAUCUCGCACCCCCCCCCCCCCCCGGUCGGUGGGAGGGAUCCUAUUCUUGUUUUUGUUAGGUUCAACGCCUUGGUUGGGACUGUGUGGCGGUGGCGAUGUUUUCCAGUAGGAAUAAUGUCUCCCAUGUCAUACCCCCGUCUCGACAGUGUGAAUAGGGCCGUCGGAGGAUAUGUGGAGGUGUAUCUCUCUCGGAUCUCGUGGGAUUUGGUCGGUGCUGGUCUUUGGUGGAUCUAGUUUUUGUUCGUCUUCUGGUUACAGGUUUGAUCUUUUCAAUCUACAACUCUCCUCAUCGGUGUUGGUUGCUGCUCUGGUGUGUUGGUCCUUUGGGUCCUUAGCACGACGACUUUUCGACUGUCUGCUACAAUAAGUUUUGCCCGGUUUCGGUGAGUGAGGAGCAAUGACGGCGACGCGCCUUCGGCUCGCUCUAGUGCUUGUAGUUUUUGCUAGGUAGUUCAUGGACUUGGUUGUAAUUUUAUUACCUCUAGUAUUCUCUGUAUUGCCAUGAUUAAUGAAUAGAUUGGAAAUUUCUAUCAAAAAACAUGCUUAGGAAAAUAAACUGAAUUUUUCUUAAGUAUCAACGCUUAUUUCUAUAGGAUGAGUACCUAACUAAGCAUCUAUCCUCUACAAAUAAGUGCUGACAAUAAAUGAAAAAUUGAUUUGUUUCUCUAAGCAUCUUCCCUAAACACCUUUGCAUAGUAUACAAGACCAAAUGCAAUCAUGUUGUGGUGAUGUUACUUUGGUAAAAUGAUUAUGGUCCUCGAGAUUUUCCUUGAAAAAUAAUAGCGCUCAUGUAUUAACAAAAUUGGUUGUCACGGCUGGAUGCCCAACCGCGGUAAUCUCGUCCCCUUGAAUUCGUCUGCUCCCAUAGGGUUUACACCUACAAUCUCUGGUACGACGUCCUUUGUUUGCUCCCCUAUUGUCCCUCUCCUCUCUCACCGCUCGGGCUGAUCAAGAGAGUAUUCUAGAUGCUUUCCUUUGGUAGGUUUGGUGGCGACUGGCCUUUUUCUUUUGCGAUCAAGGAGGCAAUGAGGUCAUCAAUGCGAACAAGAGCAUUGGUGUGUCACACAAAGAAGAGACACACACCUUUUUGCCCUUCCCUGUUCAGCAAGGGCAACCUUUUCCUCCUCGUCUGAUACAAUGCUAGGACUAGCAGGAAGAGACGCGGCGGCACGCCGUGCCCGUCAUGAAGCCCGUGUGCAUGACGGUAUUGUUUUUCUUAUCUAUACUAAUAUAAAAAGACUCAAAUAGACAGAUCCAAACCAUCUCGACCGUCAAAUCAUGUUAUCUAGCGGUUUAAAUCGCUCCAAUGUUGAGCACCAAACACGUUUAACGCUCUAAUUAUUCACCACUGCCAUUGAUUAUGAACAUGUUUUGACUCAACGCUAUCCCUUGAAAUCUGCCAUGUAAUUAAUAUCCUACCAUUCCCGUGAAAAAGUAAUUGAUAUCUUACCAAAUACCAACGUGCAACAUAUAUAUCUUACCUAAUAUAACGUGCAACUAAUAUCCUACCUAAUAUAAACGUGCAUUGCACGUACAUUAUUACUAGUAGAAGAAAAGAAGGCAGUUGAUAAUGUGCAAGCCAAUUUAAUUUAUAUAAAUACCGAAAGAUAACAAAAAACAGUUUAUCCAUGGUUACAAACACUUAGAUAUACUCCCUCCGUUCCAAAUUACUAGAUGUAUUUUAGUUCUAGAUACAUCCAUUUCUGCGACGAGUAAUUUGGAACGGAGGGAAAUACAUCGAGUAAUUUGGAACGGAGGGAGUAUGUCUUAAAUGUUUCAGCCAAAGCUGUUUCUAUCAAGAUAGUCACGGUUUAAAAAUCGUCUGGUGCAAUCAAAAGUUUUACCAAAUGAAGAUCCUUCAAAUCGAAGGAAAAUUGCUCCAGUAUACAUUUUAAAGAUCACAUUUCACAGGUAAUACCCCAUCCGCAACAGAUGAAAAAUUGUAUUAGCGAACGAAACAAGAUACAUAAGAAGGAAAAACAGCAAAAAAAGUGAAUUGGAAAAUAGAAAGGAUUAAUCUUUAUACAAAGGUCCGUUCUUUUAGGUUCACUGUUUGGCAACCAAGUAAAAAAAAAUCAACAAUGUCAUUGUUUCCUCUAAUGCAUGCAAGUUUUAGUUCACAAAACAACAAAAAUUGAAUGAAAAUACUCUAAUAAAAAGUUAGAACCUUUGUCACUAUAGUGCAUUGACGAUUUCUUUAUACACGAUAGAUUGAGUAAUAUUUGUUCCACUCCGUAACCCUCAGUCAUGAAAAAUAGCACGUAUGAGCGACGGAAUUAGAGAUGUGCUAUCAAUCAAAUCAAGUCUAAUUCUCACUUUGAUUUGCUUAACAAUGGUGUCCUGCAGAAAAGAGUUGCUGGGUAUCGCAUCAUAAUGAACCUAACUUUAUACAGAAGAUAGAAUGAGUAACAAAUGCCGAAAAUUCGAUAUGGGUCCUACUACUAUAUGCUCCCAUUAUCUAGACCGAUGGUCUGCAUGGGGAUCUAAGCAAAGAAUUGUAUUUUGUUAUGUAUUGCUGCAGGUGGCUAUAAUAUCGUACAGUGCUUGUGGCCCACGACUGCCAUGCAUUAAUGCUGGAGCUAGUUCAGUCCUCUACGGUCUUGCUGUUUGCUGAUUUUCACGGACCGGCAUGUCCGCAUGUGUAACAGAUGACAACCGAACAACACAUUGUAUUCAAUCUGAACUUAGGUAGCAACACCUUCAAACAUCUCUGUCCGAGUUUAAAAAAACACAUACAUCUUGACAAACUAAUGCUCUUCGUUCAUGUGUCCGCUUAUAUUUUUACGCAUCAACAGCUCAUUAGCCCUGCAUUCUAAGGGCAUUACUUAGGCACCCAUAAAGGAACAACAACUUCCUAUUAACCAUAUAUAACAGUACGUCUGAAUACCUUACGGUCACUAAGUACAAAAUCACUGAAGAAAUAUUCGAUUCAUUUUCAUUUCAAGAUUAUUUGGAACAUGUCAUAUAUACAUUCAUACUUUGCUCAAACAUUCAGACUCUGCACCCUUCCGGUGAAUAUACGACAAUAUUUCAUCGCGGCGGCCCACCAGGAAUUAGCAAAUGAUGAAUAAACUCUGACGCUAACCUCUUAAUCCACCUUGACACUCAGGGAUCACGUUUAACAGCAGAUUCUCCUGACUUGGCCGGUCCGCUGUCCAUGCUAUUUGCAUCCUCUGCAGCACUGUUUGAGUCGAUGAGUCAAAAAAAAAAUUCGACUCAACAACGCGUGGAUGAGUCGCGACUAGUCGCAACUGUAAGGUCUACUAUUCAGGAGACGCUGCCCCAAAACGACUCAUUGACUCAAAAACCUUGCUCUGCAGUUCCCUCCCCUUGCAACAAUGCUGCCAUCGAGGACACCCUAGCCGACGCCUCUCGCCAGCUCUAUGGAGAACAUGUACAGCUUGGGACGAAAACACAUGGUGGCCUGGAGAUCACAAAACUAUAUUGAAGUGCAGUGCUUUCAACAGUGAGGUGACCAUUUGUUUGACCAGCACUUGACCGCCGCGUUGCCCAUCCCUGCAUUCUUCGAUGAGGUUUUGUAGCUUCUAGGGAAGGUAGUUGUCCACUAUGAGCUUCUUUGGUCAAGGGUGGUGCUCACAGACAACCUGGAUUUUUGUAGCAUAGUCACAUAUUAUGUCUCACGUUGUACACGACAACAUGGAACACUUCAGUGAUACAGAGUAACCAAAAUUCCCGCCUUAGUUUUUAUUAACCUAAUUCCCAGCUUAAUUUAUCAUGAGUGACCCAAAAUUCUAGGCUUACUCUAAAAACGUUGUUGGCUACUUGACAAGUAGAAUCACUCAACCAUGAGAGAAGAGAAUAAAAACCAAACCUUUAUUAGUUUCAGCAGAGUCAAACAAGCAAUAGCUUCUCGAUGGUCAAGUCUUGCAAUAAGCAAUGUCAUCAAACCAUUGGUGGCUAUUACAGUAUUUGCCUGAGAAGAUUUCCUGCAGUUACAUUGCAUACCAUUGCAAUUAUCAAUAUAAUCUGUCAUUAUAGAAGGGAUAGCAUCAAACAGGAAAGCUAUCCUCUGUUCUUAAGUGAUUAUUUUGAGGAAAGCAUUGAGUAUGACAUCUACUCGCCAGUGUGCCAUCAAUAUGCUCGUGAGAUGGCCAGUGCGCCAUCUCUCCACAACUUCUUGCCAUUACACGAUUAUGCUUCCCUCGAUGCUCUGUUAUGUACCAUCCGUUGUCUAUGGUCUGGAGCAGCCUAAUCAUCGUGGGACACUCACACUGGCAAGACCUUGUAUUCUCUCAUAAUAGCUUCCCCUGUUCCAUAUUUUACCACCAAUCAUUAGUGACACAGCUAAUUAAUGCACACUUCAUCAGCUUAAAACCAGCUGCAAAAAUCAAUACAGAAAUUACAACGUACCGAGCAUCUGCACACACAAUUUCCUGCAUGGUCUUCCUUUUUCUCUGGGUUCAGCCUGCUUUCCCCGUAUCGGAUUUCAAAACCAUGUUCCCAGGAAUAUAGGUUGUAGAAGUCAUACACCUCCGUCAACGAGUCAAAAUUUGUUCCCAACUCUGGCUUCACAACUUCCUUAUUGCUCGUCUCCGCAAAACCUCUAAUUGACAGUCUCACACUCUGUAGGAUUGGUACACAUCCUGACCCUGCUUGUGUGCACAAAGCCAACAUUCUAUUUCCUGAGAGACACAACACGCCUUUUUUCGGCACAAAAAACACCAUUGUGCAUCCCAAAAACUACAAACAAGUCCAGAUUUUAAAAUGCAUGACAAUUGUGAGACUGUCAAAAAGAAUGUCACAAGCAUUCAGCUUAAAAAUCAUAACAGAGCAACACUUGGAACUGCAAGCUGUGGUCAUUUUGCGCAAUUAUUUUUCUGAUCAAAGGGAGUACCCAGCUCCAUUUUCAUAUAGAAAACGAAACCAAUACAAACCAUUCACUGCCUGAUCAAACAGUCAGGUUCAAGGUCUCAACCAAAACUAAAAAGCAAAGGAAAAUCUGCGACUUAAGUUUUGCCAGUUACUUAUUCGGUUCAGCAUGUGAAAGAACAACAUGCAACUAUUUUUAGCACUGGCAAGAUUUAUGUACUCUUUGAUUAUGCGGAGCUAACAUUUGCCCUAUUUUUUUUAACUGGACAAGCCCACCACCCCUGCGCACAAACAUUCUAUGAGCUAACUUAGUUUUCCUUUCCCCUCUGUUUCAUAACGGAUACGACGCUCUACACAUCUGUUUCCAUUCUUCAGUUUUCUUUUUAGUAGCAGCACGCACGAGUAAUCCACACAGAAAUAAUAGCACACAACAAGCAGGAUUCAAUACCUCUUAAUUCGCCGUGGCGCUCAUGGAUCCGGCAUCACAGUCGAUUCACCCAAUUCCGCAGGCACAUUCUGUUCGUCUACCGCAUCGCCCCACCAUCUUGACAGCCCUGAACGAGCGCCGCCACAGAAGACUCCGGUGGCACCUCGUCCCGUCUGCUACCCACCUCGCCCCCUCCAUCGAGAUCCGGCGGCGAGGCGCGUAUCACAUCUUGGAAGAUAGGCAAGCAGGCCACCACAGAUCAGAACACACCGGCAACAAAGAUUUUGCGGCAGGGGGGGCAGUGGGGAAUGGGAAUGGAGCAGUGGAGCCGCCGCGUACCUGACCACCGGAUCCACCGGAAAGUCCACCACAGCGCCGGCCUCCACUGCGCCGUUGACCGCCACUGUCGCCGGUGCCGCCGCCGUCGCCAUGGACAACACCGACCCAUGAGAUAGCCACGCAGUUCCUGCAGUGAAUGAGCUGACCGGAAAAAUUCUGUACCGCCCGUCCAAGUACGAGGCAACUACUGUUCCCACGGUCCCGCUGUUACUUUCGCCGUCAUUUGUGGGGGCCACCGCUCGUAUUGUACUCAACAGUAUUCGUCGGGUCGUUCCAUCCCAUACGGUCUAGCGCAAUACGGUGAUUUUCUAGCGCUCGCGCCAGCGCCAGUUAAGGCGUAAGGUAUGUGUGUGCAUUCAUUAGAAUGAUUGUAUGUGCGUAUAUGUGAGCAUCUAUAUUGUACUGUGUUGGCACUGGUGGUUGCAUUUUCCUGGAUUUAUUUUAGGCAUUUUGAUGAUAUUUUUUUAGUGAGAGGAGAUGUUCCUGUCGACUAUGAUGGCACCUAUGGUGAUAUUGUCAAUCUCAAGAUGUUGUACCGACUCAAUACCUCAAAAGUUAUCAUAAGGGUAGUAUGUGCAUGCGUGUGUUUGUAGGGAUACGUGUAUAUGCACAUAUGUGAGCAUCUGCGCACUGUGUUUAAAUAAAUAGCAAACACAAAAAGAAAACCAGCAAUGAACCAAAUAAGUAGCCAACACGUGUCAGUUAGAAAGACACUCACCCAUAGUACUUCAAACGCUUGGGAGCAGCCGUAGCUUAGUAGCUUUAAUUAUUUUGCGUGAGUUCGUAGAAUGUGUAUAUAUGUAUAUAUGUGAGCAUCUGUGUUGUACUGUGUUAAAAUAGAUAGCAAACAUGAAAAAUUCCUUUCAUGAGGUUCACCUGGUAGACAUCAAAACUUAUGAAGGUUGAAGAAUAAAUUUAUAAAGAUAGGGGAUGAAAACGGAAAUGAGCAGAACACUAACAUCCAGUUUGCCCUCAAUAGCAUCUUCAUUCGCAGUAGAGGAGUCUUGUUUGACAUGGAAAGAGCCUGCUCCUAGUGGUUCUCUUAGGGCAAGGCGAUUUACUAUGUUAUCAAGUCACACACAAAUUGUAUGAUAAAAGAACCAAACAUCGGGAGGGAAAUAGUUGAAGAAACUAUUGAAUAAUUAGGCAUUUUUUGAUUAAAUUUAAUCCAGAAAAACAAUAGGAAAAGCAUGACAGUGAAGAUAAUCGAGACAAACAACAGAUUGUUGAAACUAGUCAUGUAAUCAAAAUCAACAGUAGUACUCCGAACACUAACCAUAACAGAAAGGAUAGAAUGACAUAUGGAGUAGCAGAAGCGGAAGCAUAUGCGCUGUUCGUCAUGUCGUCGAAGGGGUCAUCGAUGUUGGGGAAGAAGUCGUCAUUGGGGAACUCGUCGUCGAUCGUAGCCACUAUAUAUGAACAAGGAUCCAGCAAUCACGCAGAAGCACUCCCCAAAAACCUGAUCGCCCAUCUCUCGUACCGGAUCACAAGAGGCGGAGUUCGGAGGCCUGAUGUCUCACUCCCCGGUGCACGCGGAGAAGCGAGAUGGGAAAAAGAUAAGCGGUGUGCUACUUGUGAGCUGCGUUGGGAUUUCCUCGAAGAGGGGAGGAUGAAGGAGUACAGUAGAUAUAAGUAUUUCCCUUAGUUAAGAAUCAAGGUUAUCAAUCCCGUAGGAGAACUACACAGAACCUUGUUAGCAGCACCUGCACACAUAAAAGUAAAUAAUUGCACCUGACGUGAACAAGGGGGUUAUCAAUCCCCUCGGCAGUUACUUGCAAGGAUUCAAUCUUGUAUUGGUAGAUAGAUAAAUAAAUUGCAAAUCAAAAUAAAAGAAAUAAAAUUAUAGCAAAGUAUUUUUAUGUUUUUAUAUAUGAUAAAAGUAGACUCGAGGGCCAUAGUUUUCAAUAGAUGCUUCUCUCUCGAGCACACAGAAUAUUGUGGGUGAACAAAUUAGUGUUGGGCAUCAUGUCCGAGACAAUUAGACCGACUCUUGCCUACAUCUACUACUAUUACUCCACCAAUCGAACUCUAUCUAGCAUGCAUCUAUGGUAUUAAGUAUAAAACAGAGUAACGCCUUAAGCAAGAUGACAUGAUGUAGACAAAGUAAACACAAUCAAUAUGAAUAAACCCCAUCGUUUUAUGCUUAAUGGAAGUAGAGUGAUCAGUAGCACAGUAAUAUGAUAGUUUGAUAGCAGGGGUAACAGUAGAAAUAGUAACGGUAACAGUAACAGUUUCGUAGUGAUUGUAACAACAUCACCAGUAACUUAGCAAAGAUCAAUAUAUGAAAAGCGUAGGCAUUGGAUCAGUGAUGGAUAAUUGUGUUGGAUGACAUUCAUCAUAUAACAGUCACAACCUAGAGCGACAUAGGACUACCUCCAAUUCAUCAAUGUAAUAUAGACAUGUAUUCCAUAUAUAGUCAUACGUGCUUAUGAUAAGAACUUGCAUGGCAUUUUUUGUCCUACCUUCCCGUGGCAGUAGGGUCCAUAAGGAAACUAACGGAUAUUAAGGCCUCCUUUUAAUAGAGAAUCAAAAAGCAUUAACACAUAAUGAAUACAUGAAGUCCUCAAAUUACAGUAAUCAGUGGAAAGAAUCUCAAUUAUUGUCACCAUGGGGUAUGCGGAUCAUAACAGGUAAGAGGUGCGUAUAACUUGCAAGAUACGAUGAGGAACUCAAAUAUAUUCAUGAAAACAUAAGGGUUCAGAUCUGAAAUCAUGGCACUCGGGCCCAGGUGACAAUCAUUAAGCAUAACAAAGUCAUAGCAACAUCAAUCUCAGAACAUAGUGGAUACUAGGGAUCGGGCCCUAACAAAUUGAGUCGAUUACAUGAUAAAUCUCAUCCAACCCCGUCAUCGUCCAGCAAGCCUACCAAGGAAUUACUCACUCUCAGUGGUAAGCAUUAUGAAACUGAUGAUGAUGAAGGGUUGGUGAUGAUGAUGGCGACGAACCCCCCCCCCUCUCCGGAGUGUCGAGAGGACUCCAGAUAUAGCCUCCCGAUGAAGAACAGGAGGUGGCGGCGGCUCCGUAUCGUAAACCGCAAUGAAAACUUCUUCUCUUAUUUUUUUUCUCCAAAAAUAGGAAUUUAUAGGCUUGAGAUCAGGGUUAGCGGAGUCAGUGGGCCCCAUGAGCCACAUGGGCGCGCCUAGGGGGGUGGCCGCGCCCAUGUGUCUCAUGGGCCACUGGUGGGUCCCCUGAUCUUCACUACAAUAUUUUUUAUAUAUUGCAUAAAAAAUCUCCAAAAAGUUUCGUUCAAUUCGGAGAACUUUUAUUUCUGCACAUAAACAACAUCAUGGUAGUUUUGCUGAAAACAACGUUAGUCCGGGUUAGUUUCAUUCAAAUCAUGCAAAUUAGAGUCUAAAACGAGAGCAACAGUGUUUGUAAAAGUAGAUACGAUGGAGAUGUAUCAACUCCCCCAAGCUUAACUCAUUGUUUGUCCUCAAGCAAUUCAGUUGACGAACUAAAGUGAUAAAGAAAAACUUUUACGAACUCUUUUGUUCUUGUAUCUGUAUAUAAGCUUAAAUAGUACACAGGUUUUCAGGAAAGAUCAUAACUAACCAUGCAAAUGAUAACUCUUAGAAAUUAUAUUCACUAUUGAAAGGGUCGAUAUGGUUGACUAGAGGGGAGGGGGUGAAUAGGCAACUACCAAUUUCUAGCUUUUCUUAACAAAUUAGGUUUAGAAACAAAUAGGUUGACUAGAUGUGCAACUAGGUGAACAACCUAUAUGAUGCAAACAACAAUAACAACAACAACAACAACAACAACAACAACAACAACAACAACAACAACAACAACAACAACAAGUGCAAGCAAAGGAUACAACACGAUAAUAGCUUGCACCAAGUAAAGGGAAGAGAUAACCACAAGUGGAGCAGGUGGAGACGAGGAUGUGUUACCGAAGUUCCUUCCCUUUGGGGGAAGUACGUCUCCGUUGGAGCGGUGUGGAGGCACAAUGCUCCCUAAGAAGCCACUAGGGCCACCGUAUUCUCCUCACGCCCUCACACAAUGCGAGAUGCCGUGAUUCCACUAGUUGUGCCCUUGAAGGCGGCGACCGAACCUUUACAAACAAGGUUGGGGCAAUCUCCACAACUUAAUUGGAGGCUCCCAGCGAUACCACGGAGCUUCACCAUAAUGGAAUAUGUCUCCGAAGUGACCUCAACCAUCUAGGGUGCUCAAACACCCAAGAGUAACAAAAUCCACACAAUAAAGUAUGGGGGAAUCAAAUAUACUUUGGUGGAAGUGUAGAUCUAGGUCUCCUCCUUCAAUCCCUAGCAAAUCAAUAAGUUUGAGUGGCUAGAGAGAGAUCGGGCAGGAAAGCUUGAAGGGCAUUAAUGGUGAAGAGAGAGAGGCAAGUGGUAAGUGGGUAGGUGGAAGAAACCCCCUUUAUAUAGGAAACCCUAAAAUCCAACCACUACAACAGUUUUUACACUGCAGCGGUACAACCGCUCCUCUCCCCGGUACUACCAGGAAUCACGGAUGAGCUAUUGAAACCCUAACAACCGGACGCUCGAGCGGUAGUACCGGUUAACAGGAAUAACCGGACCAACCGCUCCCCUACCGCUCAACAACCUCCUUGAAACCGAAAGGAGUCACCACUAUGGGCGGUGGUCGAGCGGUAGUGCUCCGGAACUACCGCCUGGCCCUGGUACCAGGGGUGGCUAAGUCCCAAGCGGUAGAACCGCUCAGGACACACAGUAGUACCGGUAUGCAUAGCACAACUGGGACAACCGGGCCACCACCACUCAAGUACCGCCCUAUCACAGAAGCUAGUCCGGUGGUCGGGCGGUACCCGGCCGGUACAACCGCCAAUGAUGCAACUCCAGAGUUCUUCCAGUGAAUGGGCGGUACCACCGCUCGGGGGCAGUGAUACAACCGCUGGGCAAGAACCUGGGAGGUGCAACCCUAGGGUAUCACCCCUGGGGGGGUGGUUGAGCCGGUACAACAGGGUCAGCGGUACAACCGCCCUAGUGGGCGGUACAACCGCUGAGAGGAGAAGCCACUACAACAGCAUGAAUCAAAGGGACCUCUCGCUACAAGGAACGAAAGGUAAUGGUGGGUGACAAGAAGUGUGUACAUGCAAUGAUUCACCCAAUGCCUUACGAUGUGCAUUCCCUCUUAAUAGUACGGGUUUCCUACGACCAAAGAACUAAACACGUAGAAAACUCCGUCUUCGAUCUUUUCCUUUCAGAGAGAAUGUCUAAUCGAUGCGUACCUAAGAAUAGAGAACCUGAAGAACUUAUCACACGAUUAGACCACAAGGAGAGUUGCCAUCAUCACCCAAAACAGAAAGAUGGGAAAUGUCCUAACAAUCUCCCCCUUUUUGGUGGAUGAUGACAACAACAAAAUUUGCACAAGAGGUCUAGAAAAUAUAGACGGGCUCCCCCUAGAUGUGUGCACUACUUCGAUUCUUCUUUUGGAAUGCAAAGUCACACAUUAGGAUCAAAGCUCCCCCUAGAUUUUAUAGACCCAACACUCCUACUAACUGAGAUAGAUAAACAAUAAGCGUAUAAGUAGAGAGUAACGAACUAAGGAUAAAACGAUAAGAUAGAUAGAGAAUGCAUGUCUCACACCAUGCAAGUCGAGUCUCACAACACAGGGUCCACAAACUAAGAAAGAGCAGAUAGAAACUCAGGUUCAACUCUCAACUCGAAAAAGAAAACACAACCCAAGCAACUCCCAUGCAAAUCCCGAGACCUAAUAGAACUAUCUCCCCCUUUGGCAUCAAGACACCAAAAAGGAAAAGAGCGAUGCUAGUACCCCAGAGCUCAGUAGUCCUCCUCUGACUCCUCGGUCUCAUCUGGAUCAGCAUCGUCAGACUCCUCAUCCUCAUGCUCCAUGAUAUCAUCAGCAGCAGCAGAACUAGAGGUAGCAAGAUGGCCAGGUGCCUCAUCAUCAGUCCAAGUGCUAUGCUCAAAAAUCCACUUGUCCUCCGCAGUGAUGCUCUUCUCGAAUCCACUCUUCAUAGGCAUGUUGAGGUGCUUCAUCAUAGAAAUCAGACCUCGCCGAGCAAGCUUCUCAUUGACACGAGCCUCAUACAUCUUCUUAUGAAUGUGAGUCUGAAGGCAAAAUGUCUUCUUGACUUUAGUAGUGAGCUUGGCCACCUAGGAGGGCUUGGCAUCCGGCUCCAUCUCAAAGUCAUCAUCAUCUGAAGUGGCAUAAAUAUGCUCGGGGUCAUCCGCAGGAAAAAGGGCUCGACAUGCUUCUUCUUCUUAAGUUGCUUGACCUCAUGCACGGUGAGGUUAUCUGACGAAGUGAGAAGUUCUCCAGGACGGCGAAUAGCCCAAACUGAGUUUAGAAAGCACAUGACAAAUAGUGCGUAGAUGGGAACCUUUCUAUAGAUGACCAUGUUGUACAUUUCCUACCAAAGCCAGUUGGACACAUCAAACGUAGCACCAGACCCCACUUUGGUCUUCAUAGCAACAAGCAAGUCAACAAGAUACCCAUGGAUCUCAUCCUGAUUCCCAACCUUGGGCAGAAGCACAUUGCGAAACACGUGAUGCAUGAUAUCAUAGACCUUCUCAAGAUCCUUGGACUCACCAAUAAUGCCUCGUCCACGAAUGUACAGAGGAGCAAGUUUCUCCUUAGGCAUGGAAUGGGGAUGGUCGUGGGGACGAAUACCACCAAUCCCUUCAAGACCAGUAUCCUCAUAGCCAAGAGCAUUGCAGAACGCCCUCCAGGGCACUUGAAAGAACUCAUCACUUCACAUGAAGGAGAGAAUGCGAGCUUCAUCUUCUCCAAAGUGAACGGUUGCAUAAAACUAAUGAAUAAACUGAACAUGAAAGUCACAGUUGACAGACAUGAGUUUGACCAAAUCAAACUCCUCACAAAGAGCCAAUGCCUCUCCAAAGUACUCCAUAUUGUUCCUCCAAUGAUCAAGGUCAAUGGUCCACUGCUUGGUGUACCGAUUCUUGUUGUGCUCGAAAAGCUCAUGAACAAUCCUUACUUGCAUCUCAUUCUGGAACUGUGUAAGGAUUCCUUCCCCGGAAAGCUUCCCACUCCUUGGCUUUCCACUUGUUUAGAGGAAUGACCACAUGUUUCUUGGCAGCGGCAGACUUCUCAUGGUGGGAUGGCUUGGUGGGAACCACAACCUCCUCAUCUCCAUCAGACUUGACCGGACGCUUGCAUCUACGGGCUCUCUUCUUGGUCUUGGCACGAGGAGCAGAGCGAGAACUAGAGCCACCGAUAUCCAUGGGAAGAGAUCGGGAGGGAGGGGGCCUCCAUGAAGAAAAUUCAAGGAGGGCACACAUAUCUGGAGCGCCGGAGGACUCUUCGGGGUGAGGGCAACACUGGUGGCUAGGGCAAACGAGGGGAACAGGCACGAAGGGAGGAAGAAGAUACCCCUUCGGCCCAACCCCUUUAUAUACCCGCAGACCGCGAAGGGGUAGUACCGCCCCGACGGGCGGUUGUACCGCUCCCUGGUACACACUAGCGGUUGCUCGUGGUACUUCCGUUGCCUAGAAGGCAGCGGUAGUACCUCCUAUGACUGACCGGUAGUACCGGCUAGGAGCUCAACCUGGGAAGUCAGCGGUAGAACCGCAUAGACUGCCCUGGUGGAACCGCUGGGACGAUACAACCGAAUGAUCUAGCGAUUGAAUUGCCAGGAGCACCGGUUGUACCGCCCAGUCAACAUCACCCACACCAAGAACAAGCUUGCAAUUGGAGAAGAUGGUGUAAGGGAUGAGAGGCUUGGGAUGGAAACAAGUCACUGGAGUAUGGUGAGGUAACCUCCAAGAGUGUAAGAAGCAAACAAGAAAAACCACCACUUGGAGGUCACACCACCUAAGAACUAAAGAACUGGCAAGGACGAUCAAGAACCAAAGAAAAACAACCCCCUUUUUAAGAAAAGGGUGGUGGCCAGAGCCACCUAUGUUUGAGUUAAUUGGUAUGGCACCGCGAAGAUUUUAACUUGGGCCCAUGACAAAAACUCAUAUUUGAAGCACAAGUACCAUAAAAAUGGCUAAUGUGAAAGAUUUUGAUCACUUUAUGCAUAAUGGGGUAAGGGAGAGUUCAUUGAGAUAACAACACCCCCCUUAUGUCCAUGCCUACAUCUAGAGCAAGAUAUAAUGCUGAGUGUGGUGGGGUGUGCCUAGAUUCAAGCCACAUUGCUCAAAUCAAUGAUAUUUAGCUCAUGCUUUAACUCGUGAAAUCUUGCUUCAUCUAGAGGCUUGGUUAAAAUAUCCCCUAGUUGCUCUUGAGUGUUGAUGUAGAUGAUAUCAAUAUCUCCACGCUUGAUGUGAUCCCUAAUGAAAUGAUGACGAAUCUCAAUAUGCUUCGUCUUGCUAUGUUGCACCGGAUUGAGAGAGAUCUUGAUAGCACUUUCAUUGUCACAUAGAAGAGGCACUUUGUUACAUGUGACACUAUAAUCCUUUAAAGUUUGCCUCAUCCAUAGAAAUUGUGCAUAACAACUUGCGGCGGCUACAUACUCGGCCUCGGUGGAUGAGUGAGAUAUACAAUUUUGCUUCUUUGAACACCAACUCACCAAAGAGCGACCAAGGAAUUGACACCCUCCGAAAGUUGACUUCCUAUCCACACAAUCUCCCGCCCAAUCCGAAUCCAAGUAACCCAUGAGAUUAAAGCUUGCUCCUUUGGGGUACCAUAAGCCAAAGUUUGGGGUAUGAACCAUAUAUCGAAAGAUUCACUUGACCGCCACAAAGUGACUUUCCUUAUGUGCAGCUUGAAACCGUGCACAAAUUCCCACACUCAACAUGAUAUCUGGUCUAGAUGCACAAAGGUAAAGCAAGGAUUCAAUCAUGGAAUUAUAUACCUUUUGAUUCACCGCUUUACCAUUGGGAUCACUGUCAAGCUUGCAUUUGGUGGGCGUUGGAAACUUGACCGACUUGACAUCAUCCAGCUUGAAUCUCUUGAGCAUGUCUUGGGUAUACUUGGUUUGGUUGAUGAAAGUUCCUUAUCUUCUUUGUUUGACUUCAAACCCAAGAAAGAAGUUCAACUCUCCCAUCAUGGUCAUCUCAAACUUCUCGGCCAUUAGUGCGGCAAACUCAUCAUUGAAAGAUUUGUUAGGAGAACCAAAAAUAAUAUCAUCAACAUAUAGUUGGCAUAUGAACAAAUCCCCUUUGAUCCUCUUAGUAAAAAGAGUGGGAUUGAUUUUCCCAAUUUCAAACCCACGAUCUUGUAACAACUUGGUAAGGUGCUCAUACCACGCACAUGGGGCUUGCUUAAGGCCAUAAAGUGCCUUUUUGAGUUUGUAUACAUGAGUGGGGAACUUGGGAUCCUUGAAUCCUGGAGGUUGUUUGACAUACACCAACUCAUUCAAAGGACCAUUAAGAAAUGCACUCUUCACAUCCAUUUGUUGCAAUUUAAAUCAUGAUGAGAUGCAUAUGCAAGCAGCAUGCGAAUAGAUUCAAGACGUGUAACGGGGGCAAAGGUUUCACCGUAGUCGAUGCACUUGACUUGGGAGUAGCCUUGUGCCACCAAUCUUGCCUUGUUUCGAACGACCACACCGUUCACAUCUUGCUUGUUCUUGAAGAUCCAUUUGGUCCCAAUGACAUUGUGAUUCUCCGUUGGCCUUGGCACUAAUUCCCAAACUUGAUUGCGCUCGAAGUUGUUGAGUUCAUCAUGCAUAACUUCAAGCCAAUCCUCAUCAUCGAGCGCCUCAUGUACCUUUUGGGGUUCAAUACACGAAACAAAUGCGUGAUGCUCACAAAAGUUUGAUAAUUGUUUACGAGUAGUUACCCAUUUUCUCAAGCUUCCAAGCACAUUCUCCAUGACAUGUUGUUGAUGCUUUAGCUUGGAAGCCACCUUAGCGGCACGACGCUCCAAAAGUUCCUCGAUGGGCAUUUGAGGAUCAUCUUGCACAUCUUGAGCACAGUCUUGAGUUUUCUCUUGAUCUUGAUCUUGAGCAUCGUCUUGAGCUUGCUCUUGACCUUGAGUUUGCUCUUGAUCUUGAGCAUGCUCGGAGGCAUGAACUUGAUCUUGGGCAUCAUUUGGUGCAUCACCAUUUCCAUGGAGCUGAUCUUGCCCUUGAUCUUGUUCAUUGGGUUAAGGGCCUUCAUUUUGUUCUUCGGAAGCGUGUGGGUCUGGUGUAGGUGAUGGAUCCACUUGAGUAGAGCAUUGUACUUCUCCUUCGGCUACAAGGGGUUCCUCAAUGGAGAGUAUUUGACCAAUCCCCAUUCUUCUUAUGGCUUGGGGAGGAAUUUCAUCACCUACAUCACAAAGACCACUUUGCUCCACUUGGGAGCCAUUAUUUUCAUCAAACUCCACAUUACACGUCUCCUCAAUGAGUCUGGUGGAUUUGUUGAGGACACGGUAAGCAUGAGAGUUUGUAGCAUAACCAACAAAUAUGCCCUCUUGAGCUCUAGGUUCAAAUUUAGACAAACGAACACCUUUCUUGAGAAUGAAACACUUACAACUGAACACCUGGAAGUACUUGAGGUUGGGCUUGUUGUCGGUAAGUAUCUCAUAUGGAGUCUUGUUCAAGCCUUUGCGAAGGUAUAGCCUAUUGAAAGAAUGACAUGCAGUGUUGAUGGCUUUGGCCCAAAAGUUGUAUGGAGAUUUGAAUUCCGCCAUCAUGGUCCUUGCCACAUCCAUCAACAUCUGGUUCUUCCUCUCUCAACAUCAUUUUGUUCAGGGGUAUAGGGUGCGGCAUAUUGGUGCUUGAUCCUCUCGUCACUAAGAAACUUAUCCAAGGUGUAGUUCUUGAACUCGGUGCCAUUGUCACUUCUAAUCUUCAAGAUCUUUGCUUCAUGUUGAUGUUGAGCUUCAUUUGCAAAGUUGAUGACGGUUUGUUGAGUCUCACUCUUCCUCUUGAAGAAGUAUACCCAUGUGUAUCUUGAGUAGUCAUCCACAAUCACCAAGCAAUAUUUUCUUCCACCAAGACUAUCAAAGGAUGGAGGACCAAAGAGAUCCAUGUGAAGGAGCUCCAGGGGCCUCUUUGAAUAGAUGAUAGUCGAUGGUCGGUGAGCCGUUUAAUGAAGCUUUCCUUCGACACAAGCACUGCAAGCAUGGUCUUUGGCAAAACUCACAUUUGUUAGUCCACGCACAUGGUCCCCUAUGAGGAGACUUUGCAAAGAUAUCAUGUUGACGUGGGGUAGACGGCAAUGCCAAAGCCAACCCACAUCAACUUUAGCCAUUAGGCAAGUCGCGGUCUUAGUGGGUCGCUCCGAAAAGUUCACCACAUAGAGACCGUUCUCGACAUGCCCAACAAAGGCUACUUUAAGAGUCUUGCUCCACAAAAGGGCCACGGUAUCAAGAUCAAAGAAUGUUGCAAAGCCCAUAAGUGCAAGUUGACGAACGGAAAGUAAAUUGUAUGCAAGGGACUCAAUAAGCAUGACCUUCUCAAUAGAUAAAUAUUGAGAGAUGACCACCUUGCCAAGCCCCAAUACCUUAGAAGUUGAAGCAUCACCGAAUUGGACAUGGGUGGGCAUAGAUGGAAUUGGAUGCACAUCCACCACCAACUCCUUGCUCCGGUCAUAUGAUUUGUUGCUCCACUAUCAAGCAACCAUGACACCCCACCGGAACCAAACUCCUACAAGAGAUCAAUCUUGGAUUUAGGUACCCAUUUUUGAAUGGGUCCUUUGAUGUUAGUAACAAGGGUCUUAGGAACCCCAAUAGACCAUUCAAUGUACUCAUAAGAAGAACCAACAAAUUUGGCAUAAACAUGCCCAUCACUAGCACGACACAAAACAUAAGAGGGGUUGAAAUCGCCGGCUUUGUUGCUAGGAGCGGUUUUGCCCUUCUUGGCAUUACCACCCACUUCCUUGUUCUUUAUCUUGUUUUCAUGAGCACCCUCACCCGCCUUGACAAAGGUGUCCUUGAGCGGGAGAGAUUGCUUGGUCUUGGGUACAAACCCAAGUCCUUUCUUUCCUACAACUUCCUUUUGAUUGCUCAAAAGGUCAUUGAGGUUCUUCUCGCCUUGUAUGCAAGUCACAAGGCCCUUCUCAAGUUGCUCUUUCAACUUGGCAUUUUCCUCCAUGAGAUGCACAUACUCGCAACAAGGGUUAGUAGCAUGGGCAUUAUCAAUUAGAACGAAGGGAGGAAAGUGGAAGUCUCCUUGGUUAGUGUCGUGGUAUUUUUGCGGGAGUGGCCAAGUGGCACCGCGUCACGGCAGAUUCCACUGGGUGGCUUGAGGUGAGGGAAAGACUGAAGUGGAAUGUCCGGGACGGGUAUGCGAAUAGCACGUGGAGGUUUACCCAAGUUCGGGGCUCUUCAGAGAGAUAAUACCCCUACUCCUGCAUAUCUGUAUAUAUGCGGAGUAUACAUCUGAUAGUACAAAGUUGCUCCUGGAGCUGUAUCAUGUAUGUGUGAAUCAGUAGCAGAGAGCUAGCUGGCUAAUGUGGUGUGGUGGCAUGAGAGCCUCAUGCUCCCGUGAGAGUGUGUGGCGUGGUGUGUGAGCCUGCGUGAAUGAGUGAGUGGGCAUGGUGCCCUUUUAUAGUGUGGUGGUAGGCAUGGUGGGUGGUGGCCCACCCACCAACUAUGCUAUUCCAGAUGUCAUGCGAGGUGACGCGUGAUGCAGGCUAUAGUGCACCACUAUUGCUCAGCAGUGCCAGGUACAACUGUCUCGUCCAUGUCAGGCCGCAUGUGAUGUCGCGGUUGACUUCGGGCAACUGAUCGACUGGUUGGCGCAGUCGGCCCGGGCGGGCAGGCACCCCAUCCGACUGCCGUCUUUGGGGUACCCGGGGGUUCGAGUCGGGCGGAGGGUUUUCACAUGCAUCGUUGUUGUUGUAGAAGUUUUUGAUGAAGGCCGACUGUGGGCGUGCAGCCAGAGCGGCUUGCUUCCAGCGGGGGCACGCUAGCGCACCCGCUAGGUGUAGCCUCCGAGCCUCCGUGUGACUCGAAGAGUCGGGCGGAGGUCUUAGUUGUUGUUGGAGAAGACGGUGGCGUCGAGGACCUCAGUGGCAAGCCUCCGGGCAACUUCGAAAAGUGGGGCGGAGGGUUUUAGCUAUUCUGUCUUGUCCUACGAGGUCCGCACCGCCUGACGGGCGUGGAGCACCACCAGGCGCGGAUGCCUGCUGGUGGGUGAGUGGCACUGCCGGGCACAGACGCAGGGUCCGCCUGCCGAUGUUGUUGGGCACGGACGCGGAGUCCGUCGAUUGAUGCUAUUGGACGCGGACGAGGGGUCCGCCAACUGAUGCCGUCGGGCGCGGACGUGGGUCCGUUGACUGAUGUUGUCGGGCGCGGACACGGAGUCCGCCAACUGAUGCUAUCGAUGACAGCCGGUUGUGGGCUGCAGCCGGCGUGGCUUGCUUCCAGUGGGGGCGCGCCAGCGCACCCACCGGGUGUAGCCUCUGAGCCUCCGGGUGACUCGAAGAGUCGGGCGGAGGGUUUUUGCCGUUGAUGUAGUAGAUGGUGGCGUCGGAAAUGCCGGUUGCAUCCGACGUCGGGGCUACAACCAGCCUCCAAGCCUCUGGGUGAGGAGGCGGCCCCCCGAAGAUGAUCGUGCAAAAGGAAAGAUUACUUACGCAAAUAUAUUGAAUGCUUGCUUUUAGCAUUGCAAGUUUUAUGCGAAGGGUGUCGACUCGGUUUCGUCCGAGCCCCCUUCAGUCUUUUUCGUGUCCCUUCUGCUCUUUGGCCCGUGCUCUCGCUAGCCGGACAGCCAUGCAGCGGUCUGUGGCUGAGAGUGGGCCGCGGAGUGAAGCAUAUAGUACUCGGACUUUCGGGAGUAGACUCGACCAAGCAGAUAUUCAUUAAGCAAAUGGCCGGGUCGCCCGAACCGUUUUCUCCUCGGACGUUUUUCGCGUGGGUGGCCUGCAACGUUUGCUCUUGCUAGCCGGACAGCCGUGUUGCAGUCUAUAGCUAAGACGAAGAGUAAGCCUUCGGUACCAUGCACACUACUAAGCCGUCUAUGGGAACGAACGUCUCAGGUCAAACGACUGGGCCCAUGGCAAACAGCUAAGCAACUGGAGAAAAAUGCGGAGACAACCUCCGAAGGUCACUCGGGGUCAUCCGGCAUGCGUGCGCGGUGCAAAAGUAAUGCGGGUGAGGAGCUUACAUUGCUUUGGCGCAGAUGAAGCCGAGGUGGUCGAUGACAGUCGGCUGCUGGCUUGCAGCCAGGGCUGCUGGCUUGCAGCCAGCGCGCCCCGCCAACUGGGUGUAGCCUCCAGGCAGUCGAACGGUGCAUCGGCCGACCGGACCCGACCGGCCGGGUGUCGAAGAGGACGCUCAGCUGGGAUGGCUCCCCAGCCGACUCGGCAUAGCCGGCCAGCCGGCAAAGCGGGAGGCGGUGACGCAGGCAAACGAACACGGUCGUUACUUGUGUUCUUUCUUUUCCAGCAGGCGGCAUCGUUUUUUUAGCCGGCACCCUUGACUUUUCUCUUCCCAGCUGGCAGCAACCUUGCCCUGCGGGCAGCCGGCACAGAGAGGCCAACGGCGGGAGGGCGGCAGCCGACAGCAGGGGAGGCCGGCUGCGGGAGUGCGGCAGCCGGUAGCAUGGGAGGCCGGCUGCGGGAGGGCGACACCCGACGCUGGGGUGUGCACGGCCGCGGGUGCGGGGCGCACAGCCGGGCGUGGCGACGGUCAUGGGGACCUGUCGUGGGGUGCAAAGGAGGCGCGGCCGAGCGGCCGUGAAGGAGCAGCGAGCUCCGAGAGGAGGAGCGGCGAGCUCGGGGCGAUGUGGAGGCGGGGAAUCUGAGCGCGGGCGAAACCGCGCGUGGGGGCGGCCGGAGAUGAUGGUGUUGGUUGGCACGGGGCUCGCAAGAGCGCCCGAUGCUACGUGACGGGCGAGGAAGUGGCGGACGGGUGCUGGUGAGAGGGGGGCGCUGGAGGGAGCGUGGGCGCGGGGCGCGCGGUCGACAUGGGGAAGCAUGGACGGAGGCGUGCGGACGCGCCGACGCGAGCGUAGCAACGCGCGGUGGUGCUGCAGCGGAGGCGAGGCAGCACAAGGCGAGCAGGCAGCAAGAGAAUCGGAGGCUGAGCGUGGGGCCGAGCCGCUGCCGCGCACGCGAGCGCAGACGGAGGGGAUGGGGCUCAGGGCCCAGCAAUGGUGAGGAAACACCGAGCAGCAGGCAGCGGGGGAAACGGGGGUGAAGCGGGGGUCACCGCCCGGUCGCAGUCCGAGCGCGGGGUCGGGGCAGCGCGGCCGUUCCGGUGCGCACACGUGUGGAGGCACGAGACGAGGGACAGGAGGAGAUGAGCCGAGUGGGGCUGCUCCUGCGUUAACUAUGGUCAGGGAACGAGGUAGGGGAGAGAGUGUCUGCCCGCGUGGAGAUUUCAUGGAGAAGGGGAGAACGAGGGAGCGGGAGAACAGAGCUUGCUGACAACGAGCUCGUCACCGCCGGCCGCGACGGAGCGGAGCAGGAGGGGCUCGGCAAAUGGCCGGGCGGAGGAGCGGCGACGCGCUGCCGAAACGGUCAGAGGGAGAUGUAGCACGCGGACGCGCGGACGACGACGACGCCGCGGUGGUGGCGACGCGAUGACGAGGACGCGCCGCCCCGUGCGGUAGUUCCGGGGUUGGGUCGAUGUCGAGCCCCCGAGCGCUACCGGAGAGACGGCGCGACGCCAUGAUGAUGAUGUUGAAGAUGGUCCCGUUCGGACUGCGGUCCAAGCGGCAGCUUGCCCCACGGUGGGCACCAACUGUCGUGGUAUUUUCGCGGGAGUGGCCAAGGGGCACCGCGUCACGGCAGAUGCCACAGGGUGGUUUGAGAUGAGGGCAAGACUGCAGUGGAAUGUCUGGGACGGGUGUGCGAAUAACACACGGAGGUUUACCCAGGUUUGGGGCUCUCCGAAAAGAUAACACCCCUACUCCUGCAUAUCUGUAUAUAUGUGAAUUCUACAUCCGGUAAUACAAAGUUGUGGUGAAGCAAUAGCAGAGAGCUAGCUGGCUAAUGAGGCGUGGUGGCAUGAGAGCCUCAUGCUCCCGUGAGAGGGUGUGGCAUGGUGUGUGAUCCUGCGUGAAUGAGUGAGUGGGCAUGGUGCCCUUUUAUAGUGCGGGGUUAGGCAUGAUGGGUGGUGGCCCACCCACCAACUACACUAUUUCAGAUGUCAUGCGAGGUGAUGCGCGAUGCAGGCUAUAGUGCACCACUAUUGCUUAAUAGUGUUAGGUACAACCGUCUUGUCCGUGUCGGGUCGGAUGUGAUGUCACGGUUGACUUUAGGCACUCGGCUGGUUGGCGCAGUCGGCAGCCGGCCAGGUGGAGGAGCCAACUGAGGGAGCAGUCGGCCCGGACGGGCGGGCACCCCUUCCGACUGCUGUCUUUGGGGUACCCAAGGGUCAUCGCCCCGACAGUUAGCUUCACUUGGAGUUGAUCAUGAGACUCUUUGAGAUAAGCAUGAACAACCUUCAAGACCUUGUGAGCCUUGCCAAGUGUAUCAAAUUCUUCCUCGAGUGUAUCAUGGCCAACCCCAAGUGCGGCUUUCUCGGAUUUAAGCACACGAGUAAAAGCAAUAGCAUGAUCAAGAUCUUUUUCCAAUUUAGCAUGAUCAACAUUGUGUGACUCCUCAAGAGUCAAACGAAGAUCUCGCUCUUCCUCUAGAGCAAUGAAAAGGUCCACAAUCUCAUCGCCAUAGUCACGACUAUGCCCCUCCAACUUGGAGAUAGUAUCCUCAUGCGACUCAAUGAUAUCAUUGGCCUCACCAAGUUGUUCCAAGAGAGCAACUACGUGCUUCUUGGACUCACCCUUGAGUUUGCUCAUAAACUUGGUGAACUCAUUCUCAUCAACUUUCUCCACCUCACUAUCAUCAACACAAUCUAACAAUGAAGGACUAGUAAUGAUGGUGGUUUUGAUGUUAGGAGUUACAUUGUUGAUACCUUUCGCCAUGAGAUACCUGGCAAUGGUGUUUUCGUUGGGGGCGCCAAAGAGAGACACCUUGGAGGGGGGAGAUGUGGCAAUGGCAAUGGUUGACGUUGCCAUUCCUUCUCCACUUGUAUCUUCCUCAUCAUCAUCGGAGGGGUACUCUUCAUGUGCCACCAUGCCCUUUGGAGGUGAUUUCUUGGUGAAGUUGUUCUUGCUAGGGAAAGACUUGGCUUUGUAUUUGCGAAUGAGUUUGCCACCAUUGUCUUCCCUCUUCUGGUAAGGGAACUCCGCCACAAAGUGACUCACAUUGCCGCAAUUGUAGCAAGUACUUACUCGUUGCUUGUUCUUUGACCCACUUGAGUUGUUCUUGGUGAAUUUGGGCCUUGAGUUCCUCUUGUUGCUCCAAAAUUGCCUUGAUGUAAGAGCCAUGUGCUCAUGGUAGGCAUAUUUGAUGUCCUCAGGGCAACCCUCCUCUUCUUUCUCUUCAUCUUCCGGAAUGGCCUUGGCCUUCAAAGCAAGAGUGGGAGUGCUUUUCUUUGACCGGACAUGAGCAAGAGCAUUGUCGGCGGUCUUGUUCAUGAUGUUCAUGGCAAUAAACUCAUCCAACACUUCACUUGAGGUUAGGGUGUGAAAGUUCGGCCUUUGACUAAUCAUGGAAGACAUUGCUUUGUUGAAUGGCAUGAUGGCCUUGAGGAACUUGCACUUGAUCCAAGUUUAAUUUGUAUCCUUGCUUCCAUGGUCUUGGAGAGCAACCGCAAGAGUCAUCACCCUCCAGUAAAGAUCACACGGAUCCUCAUCUUCAGGCAUCACAAAUUCAUCGGCCUCAUCAAGGACCACUUCAAAGUUGGACUGUUGGAUGCUUCAGCUCCCCCUGUACAUAGACACAAUGUGCUCCCAACAAUCCUUUGCACGAGUGAAAGGUCGUAGGUGUGCUAAGUCUUUGGGAGGGACCACUUCUUCAAGGAUGAACAAUGCGGAGUGAUUGUAUUGAUUGUCCACUUCUUCUCUUGGGGUGAAGUUGUUUGGAUCAUGCGGGUAGAAGCCUUGCUCAAUGAUUCUCCAAAGGUUAGUUGAGAAAUGAUUCAAAUGAGACUUAAUGUGGAAGACCCAACUAGCAAAAUCACCCUUAACAAGCUUGGGAGGAGGACCAUGAAUAUUAAUGCGAGCUGUGGGGACCGGUCCUCCAUAGACCGAGGGAGGGGGAACCGAGGCAAAGGUUCCCGUCCUAUUCUUGUCAUGAGGGGAAGGAACAUGAGUACCUUUAGCUGCUUCCUUGGCGGAAUUGGCCUCCGACUUCGAUGCCAUGGGAUUAACCACAAGCAAGGGAUCGGGAGUGGAUUUCAUCCCCUCAAGUAAUUCUUUAAUCAUGGACUUGACUUCGGUCAUCAUAGACUUCUAAAGUGAAGCCAUAGCAUCAUUUAAGUCAUCUCGAGUGAUCGAUGUCAACUCCACGGCCUCGGGCACUUCCUCCUCGGUGUCAACCAUACUCUUCGGGUGGUGAAACCCUUAAUAAAGAGAUGAGGCUCUGAUACCAAUUGAAAGGAUCGAUAUGGUUGACUAGAGGGUGGGGAUGAAUAGGCAACUAACAAUUUUUAGCUUUUCUUAACAAAUUAGGUUUAGCAACAAAUAGGUUGACUAGAUGUGCAACUAGGUGAACAACCUAUAUGAUGCAAACAACAACAACAAGUGCAAGCAAAGGAUACAACACGAUAAUAGCUUGCACCAAGUAAAGAGAAGAGAUAACCACAAGUGGAGCUGGUGGAGACGAGGAUGUGUUACCGAAGUUCCUUCCCUUUGGGGGAAGUACGUCUCUGUUGGAGCGGUGUGGAGGCACAAUGCUCCCCAAGAAGCCACUAGGGCCACCGUAUUCUCCUCAUGCCCUCACACAAUGAGAGAUGCUGUGAUUCCACUAGUGGUGCCCUUGAAGGCGGCGACCGAACCUUUACAAACAAGGUUGGGGCAAUCUCCACAACUUAAUUGGAGGCUCCCAACGAUACCACGAAGCUUCACCACAAUGAAAUAUGGCUCCGAAGUAGGAGUGGAAAGUGGUAGCGGAUAAUCCAAAAUAUUCGAUAUUCGUAUUUGAGAAAAUGCCUAUUCAUAUCCGAAACAUCCGCAUCCGAACCAAAAUGGAAAUGGAAAUUAUCUGUAUCCGAAUUUAUUGAACAAAUAAAAAAUAAAAUACGGCAUGAGAUUUUGACACAAAUAUGGAUAUGAAAGUGGAUAUAUCCGUAUCCGAAUAAGAUUAUGGGAGGUAAUUUUCAAAAUUGUUGCCCCAAUAUUCCAAUUAUCCAACAUAAAAGCCAAAUAACUGGUCAAUUUUUACUCUUUAUAUGAUUGCAUUACAAUAGUAUUUAUGCAUAAAACUAUUUGUCAUUGACUUAUUGUAUGUCACAAGUUGAAUAUUUCAUGUCACAUAGCUACUGACUGAUAUACUUAAGCAAUAUGUCACUAUUAUUUGUAUCCGUUCUGAAUCAAGAAAACAUCUGAUACGUAUCCGUAUUUGAAUAACGUCCGAGCCGCAUCCGUAUCCGACAACAUCCGUAUUCGCAUUCGUAUUCAUUUUGAAAAUAUGAAAACAGAAGUGGUAAGAGCACUAUCCGAUCCGUUUCCACCCCUACUCCGAAGUGACCUCAACCAUCUAGGGUGCUCAGACACCCAAGAGCAACAAAAUCCACACAAGAAAGUAUGGGGGAAUCAAAUAUCCUUUGGUGGAACUAUAGAUCUAGGUCUCCUCCUUCAAUCCCUAGCAAAUCAACAAGUUUGAGUGGCUAGAGAGAGAUCGAGCAAGAAAGCUUGAAGGGCAAUAAUGGUGGAGAGAGAGGCAGGGGGUAAGGGGGUAGGUGGAAGAAAUCCCCUUUAUAUAGGAAACCCUAAAAUCCAAUCGUUACAGCAGUUUUUACACUGCAGCGGUACAACCGCUCCUCUCCCUGGUACAACCGGGAAUCACGGGUAAGCUGCUGAAACCCUGACAAGCGGUACAAUCGGACGCUCAGGCGGUAUUAUCGGUUAACAGGAAUAACUGGACCAACCGCUCCCCUACCACUCGACAAUAUCCUUGAAACCGAAAGGAGUCACCCCUAUGGGUGGUGGUCGAGCAGUAGUGCUCCGGAGCUACCGCCUAGCCCUGAUACCAGGGGUGGCUAAGUCCCAAGCGGUAGAACCGCUCAGGACACACAAUAGUACUGGUAUGCAGAGCACAAUCGGGACAACCGGGCCACCACUGCACCGCCCAAGUACCGCCCUAUCACAGAAGCUAGUCUGGUGGUCGGGCGGUACCCGGCCGGUACAACCACCAAUGAUGCAACUCUAGAGUUCUUCUAGUGAAUGGGCGGUACUACCGCCCAGGGGCAGCGGUACAACCACUGGGCAAGAACCUAGGAGGUGCAACCCCAGGGUAUCACCCCUGGGAAGGUGGUUGAGCCGGUACAAUAGGGUCAGCGGUACAACCGCCCUAGUGGGCGGUACAACCGCUGAGAGGAGAAGCCACUACAACAGUAUGAAUCAACGGGACCUCUCUUUACAAGGAACGGAAGGUAAUGGUGGGUGAUGAGAAGUAUGUACGUGCAAUGAUUCACCCAAUGCCUUCCGAUGUGGAUUCCCUCUUAAUAGUAUGUUUUUCCUACGACCAAAGAACUAAACACGCAAAAAACUCCAUCUUCGAUCUUUUCCUGUCAAUGUCACGACUGAGAGUUUUCAAUAUCUCCCAUGCUAAACACAUUUGCGGCGGUUCCCAAGCGAAAAGGUAAAGUUUNNNNNNNNNNNNNNNNNNNNNNNNNNNNNNNNNNNNNNNNNNNNNNNNNNNNNNNNNNNNNNNNNNNNNNNNNNNNNNNNNNNNNNNNNNNNNNNNNNNNNNNNNNNNNNNNNNNNNNNNNNNNNNNNNNNNNNNNNNNNNNNNNNNNNNNNNNNNNNNNNNNNNNNNNNNNNNNNNNNNNNNNNNNNNNNNNNNNNNNNNNNNNNNNNNNNNNNNNNNNNNNNNNNNNNNNNNNNNNNNNNNNNNNNNNNNNNNNNNNNNNNNNNNNNNNNNNNNNNNNNNNNNNNNNNNNNNNNNNNNNNNNNNNNNNNNNNNNNNNNNNNNNNNNNAGUUUGUUUCAUUAUUUUGCGAUUUGAUCAUGGGACUGGGCAUACCGAAUAGCAGCCCCUCUCGUGUAAGGACAAGUGAAUAAACACUUACAUUAGAAUAAUCCGCUUAGCAUGGAAGAUAUUGACCGCCCCCUGUCGCUCCAUGAGUGGUACAGGCACACAAAACAGAUGCUUAUUUGAAUGUUUAGAUGUGGCACGUGCAAAUUUACUUAGAACGACAGAGUAAUACCACAUAUAGGUAGAUGUAAUGGACUUAUCUGGAAUAACUUUGGUUUUGGAUUUGGAUGCACAAAUAAUAUUCCCGCUUAGUACAGGCGAAGGCUAGCAAAUAGAUUGAGAAGCGACCAACUAGAGAGCAACAAUGGUCAUAAUCAUGCAUUGUGAAUAAUUAACAUUGAAUACUAGCAUGCGUAGGACAACACCAUGAACAUAAAUAUCAUGGAGGCUAUGUUGGUUUUGAAUCAACUACAUGCAUGAACAUGUGCCAAGCCAAGCCACUUGAAACAUCUAGAGGAGGAUACCAUACUAUCAUACUACAUCAUAACCAUUUUAAUGCAUGUUGACAUCCAAAAUAAAUCAUUAUCCAUUCAUAGCUACUUAAGCAUGGCAUGAGCAACUAUAAUCUCUAAUUGUCAUCAUAAACAUGUUUACUCAUAAUAUGCUGAAUCAUGGAUACCGAGUUAAACAUAUUUACAAAAACAAAAACAAGUUGAGUUCAUACCUGCUUUUCCUUGCCAUAGUCACUUCAUCAAAUUAUCGUCAUUAUUGCAUUUCACUUGCAUGAGCGAAUAAUAUCAAAAUAAUAAUAGUGCAAGAGUGUCGUGGACUAAGUUGGAUUCUACAAACAUUUUAUUCAAAGGAGAAGACAAGGUAAUAUGGGUUCUUCAUUAAAUCAACAAUAAUGCAUAUGAGAGCCACUCAACAAUUUCAUCGUGGUCUUCUCCUUACGACAACUCAACAAUAAGAAAAGAAUUUCAGAGAAACACACUGAAAUAUUUUUGGAGUGUUUAGUUUUUUCUAAAGAAAGCAAAUUAAUGAAGGAAAAACAAAAACAAGAGAAAAAUAUUUACAUGGGAAAGCUCCCAACAAGCAAAAGAAGAAAUGAGAAAUCUUUUUGGGUUUUCUUUUGAUACUACAACUAAUUAAACAAGAAAGAAAACCGAAAAGAAGAGAGAAAUAUUUUUGGAUUUUCUCAAAAAAUUUGAAAGACACAAAAGCAAAGCGAAAAAUAAAAACUAACGUGGAUUAUACAAUGAAAGAGGAUGAGCACUGCCAAUUGGAAUGAAAUGUGUGAACAUGAAUGUAAUGUCAGUGAGAAAAUAUACUCCCCCAAGCUUAGGCUGUUGCCUAGCUUGGUAAUCACCUUCGCUGGUCUGGGUAAUAAUUGAAGUGGUAGCUCAUGGUGGUUCUCCGUGCAGCCUCCUCAGCCAGACAAGCAACUUCUGUUGUUGCAUUGUACUCACGUGCCUCUCUGUGCAGCCUCCUCAUGGAGGUUUUUCAUUGUAUAACAAGCAAAUAAUAAACUUUAGGUACUAUUGUAAACCCAUUCAUAUUUUAUUAUUUCAUAAUACCUACUAUAUUCGAACUUCUCCAUGACUUAUACCCCCCGAUAUAAUCCAUAGAUUCAUCAAAAAAGCAAACUAUGCAACGAAAACAGAGUCUGUCAAAAACAGAACAGUCUAUAAUAAUCUUAACAAUCACCAUACUUCUCUAACUCCAAAAAUUCUGAAAAAAUAGGAAAACAUGGGAAACUCGUAUAAUAAUGUGUAAAAAAUUCAGAAUUUUAUCAUGUUCGAGUGAAUUUUAAAAAUUCCAGUACUAGGUGCAAAAGUUUCUGUUUUUUCACAGAAUCAAGUCAACUAUCAAGCAAAUCAUCCCAAAGGAUUUACUUGGCACAAACACUAACUAAAACAUAAAAACACAAUCAUAACAGUAGCAUAAUUGUGUGAACAAAAAAUAUAAAUGAUAACUAUUGGGUAGUCUCCCGGCAAGCUCUUCCUUUAUAGUCAUUAAGAUAGGCUUUGAGAUUUCAAUGAUGCUCACAUGAAAGACAAAAACUAAAGCACAAAGAGAGCAUCAUAAUACAUGCAACAACACAUUUAAGUCUAACAUACUUCCUAUGCGUAUGAAUUUUAGAAGCAAACAAAUUAUUAAGACAAUAAAUAUCUAGCAUAUGCAAUGGAGAAGAAUAAAAUAUUGACAAUCUCAACAUAACGAGAGGUAAUUUAGAAACAUGAAAAUUACUAGCACUACUGCAGAAUGGUGCUAACUCCACACUACAAUCAGAGACCCUUCGACGAAACUGUGUGCGAUGCAUUAAUAGCAAACAAUGAUGUAAUAAAAUCGUCAAAAAUGAUAUGAAACAUUUGCGAUGGCGGAGGCAUCAAACAUGAUUCAGAUUAUAGUUGCAUGCACGAUGCGUGACAUAUAGUUCACUCGAAUGAAUUGUUUACAACGAGCUUAACAAGAAAAACAGUUAGCCAGAUGAAUGUGUGUGCGAUAUACAUUAUAUAGUUCAUCUGGAUGAACUGUUUGUGAUUAGGCAACACAAAAGAAAUGGUCAGCCAGAUCAUGGUCCGUGCGAUAGAGGGCAUAUAGUUCACUAGGACCAACUGUUUGUGUUGAGCCAAGAAAACAAAAAAAGGUUCAACUUAACAAGAUGUGUGUAAUAAGCGACAAAUAGGUCCGUAAUCAUAAAUGUGUGCGAAGACCAAUAAUAACAUAGACAAUUGCUGCUAAUAAGCCAUGUGUAUUAUGGGCAAACGCCUGCUGGUAUAAAAUUGUCAUUGAUUGAUGAAUUCAUCACCAAUGGUUCUCCUAGUAUGGUCCAUGUGCGAUGUGAUUGCAUAUAGAACAACAACAUGUAUACUUAUAAGGACAUGAUUGCAUAACCAAAUUAAACAUCCAAUUACAUAGGUGGCUAGUACACACAUGACAUUUGCACACACCAAAGUAAACUAUUACAUACAUAAUUAACUAGGAUAAAUGAUCAUCUGAUCAUCAUAUACUUCUUAUUGUGACGCUUUCCGCCACUGCUAUGCUAGUGGCUCGAUCCCUCAUUCAAUUACGGGAAAGAGGCACUCCCUCAUGUGAACGAUUCGACUAUGCAUCCCAUAGCAUGUGUACACGUUCUUAGCCGCGAACUUGAGGUGAGCUUCAUCCAGUUUCCGCAUCCAGGCCCCGUGCUAGGAUACAUGAUUUAUUCUAUUGGCAUCCUACUUCAUCUUUUCGUAGUAGGGGUCGAUGAUAGCUGAGGCGAGUUCAAUUAGGGAGUCCUUCAUGCUGCCCCAUACCUUGUAGUGGCCACGGAUUUCGACAAGGUUCUUGCAGGCCAAACCCGUAACCUUGAGCGUUUUUACAUCGUCGGUAGUUUCCACCGUAGAAAACUUGUAGUCGGUGCUAUUGACAAACCUAGCAAAACGGUCGCAAGGCUUUGUGGUCAUGUAGUAGUGGUAGAUUAGGACAUGAUGGCAUGCACACAACUAGGCGACAACAACCUUUUGAUCUAUCACAGGAUGACCGCCGGUGUACUGGAGGUCGAUUCCGACCACUUUCUACUUGUGCCAAGCAAGCAAGUGCUCCACGGUGUUUAUGUACUCCUCCACCAUGGCCGGGUCGAUGGUGUACACCACCGAGAGAUUCAUCUCCCUUGCGUGGGUCUCCACUUGAUGCAUGCUACUUGUGAUCUGUGUUGGGAUUUCCCCGAAGAGGGGAGGAUGAUGCAAUACAAUAGAGAUAAGUAUUUCCCUCAGUUAUGAAACCAAGGUUAUCAAUCCAGUAGGGGAACCAAGCAAUGACUCAUUAGCAGCACCUACACACAAACAACAAAUCAUUGCAACCCCACGCGAACAAGGAGUUGUCAAUCCCUUGACGGUUAGGAGCAAGAUUAAAUUGUAUAGUUUUUGAUAGAUAGAUCAAAAAAAUACAAAAUAAAAUAAAUAAAAGAAAAAUGCAACAAGAUAUUUUUGGUUUUAAUAUAUGAUAGAAGAUAGACCCGGGGGGCAUAGUUUUCACUAGAGGCUUCUCUCUUGAAAAUAACAUAUGGCGGGGAAACAAAUUAUUGUUGGGUAAUUGAUAGAAAAGCAAAUAAUUGUGACGAUAUCCAAGGCAAUGAUCAUAUAUAGGCAUGAUAACCCACAAGUAUAGGGGAUCGCAACAAUUUUCAAGGGUAGAGUAUUCAAUCCAAAUUUAUUAAUUGGACACAAGGAGAGCCAAAGAAUAUUCUCAAGUAUUAGCAGCUGGGUUGUCAAUUCAACCACACCUGAAAGACUUAAUAUCUGUAGCAAAGUAUUUUGUAGCAAAGUAAUAUGGAAACAACGGUUAUGGUGGCAAAAGUAAUAGUAACAGUUUUUUUAGUGAUUGUAACAACAAUAGCAAUGAAAGUAACUUGGCAAAGAUCAAUAUGCAAAAAGCUCAUAGGCGAUGGAUCGGCAAUGAUAAUCGUGUUGGAUAAUAUUCAUCAUGUAGUAGUCAUUAACUAGGAUGACACAGAACUAGCUCCAAUUCAUCAAUGUAAUGUAGGCAUGUAUUCCGUAUAUAGUCAUACGUGCUUAUGGAGAAGAACUUGCAUGACAUCUUUUGUCCUACCCUCCCAUGGCAGCGGGGUCCUAAUGCAAACUAUGGGAUAUUAAGGCAUCCUUUUAAUAGAGAAUCAGAACAAAGCAUUAGCACUUAGUGAAUACAUGAACCCCUCAAACUACGGUAAUCACCGAAAAGAAUCCCAAUUAUUGUCACCUUGGGGUAUGCGGAUCAUAAUUCAUAAUAGGUGUCUACAACUUGCAAGAUAGGAUCAAGAACACAAAUAUAUUCAUGAAAACAUAAUAUGUUCAGUUCUAAAAUCAUGGCACUCGGGCCCUAGUGACAGGCAUUAAGCAUAGCAAAGUCGUAGCAACAUCAAUCUCAUGACAUAGUGGAUACUAGGGACCGAAACCCUAACAAAACAAACUCGAUUACAUGAUAAAUCUCAUCCAACCCAUGACCAUCCAGCAAGAAUACGAUGGAAUUACUCACGCACGACGGUGAGCAUCAUGGAAUUGGUGAUGGAGGAAGGUUGGUGAUGAUGAUGGUGACGAAUCCCCCUCUCUGGAGCCCCGAACGGACUCCAGAUUAGCCCUCCCAAUGAAGAACAUGAGGCGGCGGUGGCUCUAUAUCGUAAAACGUGAUGAAUCUUUCUCUCUGAUUUUUUCUCUACGAAUAGGUACUUAUAGAGUUGGAAUUAGGGUCGGAGGAGCUCUAGGGGGCCCACUAGCCUGCAGGGCGCGCCCCCAGGGCUUGUGGCCUCUGAGUGCCCCCUCUAGUUGAUUCUUGCGCCAAUAUUUUUUAUAUAUUCCAAAAAUAUUCUCUGUAAAUUUUCAGGUCAAUUCGAGAACUUCUAUUUCUGCACAAAAAUAACACCAUGGCAAUUCCGCUGAAAACAACAUCAGUCCAGGUUAGUUCCAUUCAAAUCAUGCAAGUUAGAGUCCAAAACAAUGGCAAAAGAGUUUGGAAAAGUAGAUACGAUGGAGACAUAUCAAGGCAUCACAUCCGAGACAAGUAGACCGAAAUGAUUCUACAUCUACUACUAUUACUCCACACAACGACCGCUAUCCAACAUGCAUCGAGUGCAUUAAGUUCAUGGAAAAAUAGAGUUACACCUUAAGCAAGAUGACAUGAUGUAGACAAGAUAAACUCAUGUAUGAAUAAACACCAUAUUUUUACCCUUAAUAGCAACGAUACAUAUAUGUCAUGCCAUCUUCUGUCACUCGGAUCGAGCACCGUAAGAUUGAACCCAUUACAAAGCACCUCUUCCCAUUGCAAGAUAAAUCGGCCAAACCAAACCAAUAAAUCAGAGAAGAAAUACGAGGCUAUGGUAAUCAUUCAUAAAAGAGUUUAGAGAAAACUCAAAUAAUAUUCAUUGAUAGAUCUGAUCAUAAACUCACAAUUUGGAUCACAACAAACACACCACAAAAAGUCAUUACAUCGAAUAGAUCUCCAAGAACAUCGAGGAGAACAUUGUAUUGAAGAUCAAAUAGAGAGAAUAAGCCAUCUAUCUACUAACUAUGGACCCGUAGGUCUGUGGUAAACUACUCACGGAUCAUCGGAAGGGCAACAAGGUUGAUGUAGAUCCCCUCCGUGAAUGAUUCCCUCUCCGGCAGAGUACUAGAGAAGGCCUCCAGAUGGGAUCUUAUGGUUCUAGAACUUGCGGUGGAGGAAAAAGUAUUUCAGGUGUCUCUAUGGUGUCAUGGGAAUAUUUGCCUAUUUAUAGAGGUGGAAUUAGGGUUGGAUGUGCCACUGAUAACCCACAACUAUAAGGGAUCGCAACAGUUUUUGAGGGUAGAUUAUUCAACCCAAAUUUAUUGAUUCGACACAAGGGGAAUCAAAGAAUAUUCUCGAGUAUUAGCAGCUGAGUUGUCGAUUCAACCACACCUGAAAGACAUAAUAUCUGCAGCAAAGUAUUUAGUAGAAAAGUAGUAUGGAAGUAACCGUAACUAUAACAGUAGCAGUUUUGUUGCAAUUGUAACAGCGGCAACGACAAAGUAACUUAGCAAAGAUCAAUAUGUGAAAAGCUCGUAGGCAAUGGACCGACAAUGAUAAUUGUAUCGGAUGAUAUUCAUCAUGUGGCAGUCAUAACCUAGAGUGACACAGAACUAGCUCCAAUUCAUCAAUAUAAUGUAGACACGUAUUCCGUAUAUAGUCAUACGCGCUUAUGGAAACGAACUUGCAUGACAUCUUUUGUCCUACCCUCUGAUACGUCCAUUUUGCAUCAUGUUUUCUUACUGUUAUUUAUGAUGUGUUUAUCCAUAAUAAUUCUUUUUGGAGUAAUUCUAAUGCCUUUUCUCUCAUAAUAUGCAAGGUAUACACAAAGGGAGAAUUCCGGCAGCUGGAAAUCUAGACCUGGAAAAGCUACGUCAGGCCACCUAUUCUGCACAACUCCAAACAAGCUGAAACUUCACGGAGAUUUUUAUCAAAUAUAUGAGGAAUAUUUGAGCAAAUAACUACCAAAGGGGGCCUACCAGGUGGGCACAACCCACCUGGGCGCGCCAGGGAGCCCAAGCGUGCCCUGGUGGGUUGCGCUCACCCAGGCCCACCUCCGGUGCCCAUCUUCUGGUAUAUAAUUCAUUUUUACCUAGAAAAAAAUAAGGAGCGGACUUUCGGGAUGAAGCACCGCCGUCUCAAGGCGGAACUUGGGCAGGAGCACUUUUGCCCUCUGACAGAGCGAUUCCGCCGGGGGAACUUCCCUCCCGGAGGGGGAAAUCAUUGUCAUCAUCAUCACCAACAACUCUCCCAUGUUGGGGAGCGCAAUAUCCAUCAACAUAUUCAACAUCACCAUCUCAUCUCAAACCCUAGUUCAUCUCUUGUGUUCAAUCUUGUUACCGGAACUAUAGAUUGGUGCUUGUGGGUGACUAGUAGUGUUGAUUACAUCUUGUAGUUGAUUACUAUAUGGUUUAUUUGGUGGAAGAUUAUAUUUUCAUAUCCAAUAUGCUAUUUAAUACCCCUCUGAUCUUGAGCAUGAUUAUCAUGUAUGAGUAGUUACUUUCGUUCUUGAGGUCACGGGAGAAAUCAUGUUGCAAGUAAUCAUGUGAAAUUGAUAUCUGUUCGAUAUUUUGAUAGUAUGUAUGUUGUGAUUCCCUUAGUGGUGUCAUGUGAAUGUCGACUACAUGACACCUCACCAUAUUUGGGCCUAAGGUAAUGCAUUGUGGAGUAGCAAUUAGAUGAUGGGUUGCGAGAGUGAUAGAAGCUUAAACCCUUGUUUAUGCGCUAUUCCGUAAGGGACCGAUUGGAUCCAAAAGUUUAAUGCUAUUGUUAGAAUUUAUUCUUAAUACUUUUCUCGUAGUUGCGGAUUCUUGCGGGAGGGUCAAUCAUAAGUAGGAUGUUUUUUCAAGUAAGAACAACAGCUAAGCACCGGUCCACCCACAUAUCAAAUUAUCAAAGUAGUGAACACAAAUCAAAUCAACAUGAUUGAAAGUGACUAGGUGAAAUUCCCGUGUACCCUCAAGAACGCUUUGCUUAUCACAAGAAACCAUUUUGGCAUGUCCUUUGCCUCAAAAGGAUUGGGCUACCUUGCUGCACUUUGCUACUAUUAUCGUUACUUGCUUGUUACAAAUUAUCUUGCUAUGAAACUACUCUACUACUUACAAGUUCAACACUUGCAGACAUUACCUUGUUGAAAACCACUUGUCAUUUCCUUCUGCUCCUCAUUGGGUUUGACACUCUUACUUAUCGAAAAGAUCUACAAUUUAUCCCCUAUACUUGUGGGCCAUCAAGGCUAUUUUCUGGCGCCGUUGCCGGGGAGUGAGGCGCCUUUGGUAAGUGGAAUUUGGUAAGGAAACAUUAAUAUAGUGUGCUGAAAUUUAUUGUCACUUGUUACUAUGGAAAACAAUCCUUUGAGGGGUUUGUUCGGGGUAUCUUCACCUCGACCGGAACCUACCCCUCAACCUACUGCACCUACUGAAAAUACUGAAUUUGAAAUUCCUUCGGGUAUGAUAGAACAACUGCUAGCUAAUCCUUAUGCAUGAGACGGAACCGAACAUCCCAAUAUGCACUUGAUAUAUGUAGAACAAAUUUGUGGAUUGUUUAAGCUUGCAGGUUUACCCGGAGAUGAAGUUAUGAAGAAGGUUUUAUUUAUCUUUGAAGGGAAAAUCAUUGGCAUGGCAUAGGCUAUGCGAUGAUAUUGGAUCCUGGAAUUGGAAUCGAUUGAAAUUGGAGUUCCAUCAAAAAAUUUAUCCUAUGCAUCUAGUUCAUCGUCAUCGGAAUUAUAUAUAUAUAAUUUUUGGCCUCGUGAAGGACAAAGUAUCGCUCUAGCUUGGGGGAGGCUUAAGUCAAUGUUGCAUUCAUGCCCCAAUCAUGAGCUCUCAAGAGAAAUUAUUAUCCAGAAUUUUUAUGCUCAGCUUUCUCGUAAUGAUCAAACCAUGCUUGAUACCUCUUGUGCUGGUUCUUUUAUGAAGAAGACUAUUGAAUUCUGGUGGGAUCUUUUGGGAAGAAUUAAACACAACUCUGAAGAUUGGGAACUCGACAAAGGUAAAGAGUCAGGUACUAAACUUAAGUAUGAUUGUGUUAAAUCUUUUAUGAACACCGAUGCUUUUCAAAAGUUUAGCACUAAAUAUGGACUUGACUCUGCGAUAGUAGCCUCCUGUUGGGAAUCAUUUGCUACACAUGUUGAUCUCCCUAAAGAGAAGUGGUUUAAAUAUCACCCACCUAUUAAAUAAGAAAUUUAAAAACCGGUGCUAGUUAAAGAAGAAACUAGAAUUUAUAAUAUAGAUCCAGUUGUUCCUACUGCUUAUAUUGAGAAACCACCUUUCCCUAUUAGGAUAAAUGAACAUGCUAAAGUUUCAACAUAAAGUAGAACCCAGUAUUGCUAUGGUUAAAGAUCUCUUGGGAGAAGAUGUAGAUGGGCAUGUUAUUUACUUCUGUGAAGAAGCUGCUAGAAUUGCCAAACCUGAUAAAAAGAUAAACAUAGACCUGUUGUUGGCAUGCCCGUUGUCUUAGUUAAAAUAGGAGAUCAUUGUUAUCAUGGUUUAUGUGACAUAGGUGCUAGCGUGAGUGUUAUUCCUUACACCUUAUAUCAAGAAAUUAUGAAUGAUAUAGCACCCGCAGAGAUAGAAGACAUAGAUGUUACUAUUAAACUUGCUAAUAUAGACACUAUAUCACCUAUUGGGAUUGUUAGAGAUGUUGAAGUCUUGUGUGGGAAAAUAAAAGACCCUACUGAUUUUCUUGUUCUCGGUUCCCCAUAAGAUGACUUCUGUCCUAUUAUCUUUGGUAUACCUUUCUUGAACAUUGUUAAUGCUAGAAUAGACUGUGAGAAACAAAUAGUCGGUGUUAGUUUUGGUGACGAGUCUCAUGAGUUUAAUUUUUCCAAGUUUAGUAGAAAGCUUCAUGAAAAAGAAUUGCCUAGUAAAGAUUAAUUAAUUGGUCUUGCUUCUAUUGUUGUGCCACCUACUGAUCCUUUAGAACAAUAUUUGCUAGACCAUUAAAAUGAUUUACAUAUGCAUGAAAGAAAUGAAAUAGAUAAGAUUUUCUUUGAACAACGUCCUCUGCUUAAACACAAUUUGCCUAUUGAAACUCUAGGAGGUCCUCCUCCACCUAAAGGUGAUCCUGUGUUUGAAUUAAAACAGUUGCCGGACACUUUGAAAUAUGCUUAUCUUGAUGAAAAGAAGAUAUAUCCUGUUAUUAUUAGUGCUAACCUUUCAGAACAUGAAGAAGAAAGAUUAUUGAAAGUUCUAAGGAAGCACCGAGCUGCUAAUGGAUAUACUCUUGAUGAUUUAAAGGGCAUUAGUCCCACUCUAUGUCAGCACAAAAUUAAUAUGGAACCUGAUGCUAAACCCGUUGUUGAUCACCAACGUCUGUUAAAUCCGAAGAUGAAAGAAGUGGUAAGAACGGAAAUAUUAAAACUUCUGGAAGCAGGUAUAAUCUAUCCUAUAGCUGAUAGUAGAUGGGUAAGUCCUGUUCAUUGUGUCCCUAAGAAAGGAUGUAUUACUGUUGUUCCUAAUGAUAAGAAUGAACUUAUUCCACAAAGAAUUGUUACAGGUUAUAGAAUGGUAAUUGAUUUUAGAAAAUUAAACUAAGCAACUAGAAAAGAUCAUUACCCUCUGCCUUUUAUUGAUAAAAUGCUAGAAGGAUUAUCUAAGCACACACACUUUUGCUUCCUUGAUGGAUAUUCUGGUUUUUUACAAAUACCUGUUUCUCAACCUGGUCAAGAAAAGACCACUUUCACUUGUCCCUUUGGAACUUAUGCUUACAGAUGUAUGCCUUUUGGCUAAUGCAAUGCACCUGCUACCAUUCAAAGAUGUAUGACUGCUAUAUUCUCUGACUUUUGUGAAAAGAUUGUUGAGGUUUUCAUGGAUGAUUUCUCUGUUUAUGGGAAGUCUUUUGAUGAUUGUUUAAGAAAUCUUGAUCGAGUUUUACAGAGAUGCGAGCAAACAAAUCUUGUCUUGAAUUGGGAAAAGUGCCACUUUAUGGUUAAUGAAGGUAUUGUCUUGGGCCAUAAAAUUUCUGAAAGAGGUAUUGAAGUGGACAAAGCUAAGGUUGAUGCAAUUGAGAAAAUGCCAUGUCCUAAAGAUAUUAAUGGUAUUCGUAGUUUCUUAGGUCACGCUGGUUUCUAUAGGAGAUUUAUCAAAGACUUAUGUAAAAUUUCUAGGCCUCUUAUGAAUCUUUUGCAAAAGGAUAUUCCUUUUGUUUUUGAUGAUGAUUGUUUAGAAGCCUUUGAAACACUCAGGAAACCUUAAUUUCUGCAUCUAUAGUUCAACCACCUGAUUGGAACUUGCCUUUUGAAAUUAUGUGUGAUGCUAGUGAUUAUGCUGUUGGUGCUGUUCUAGGAUAAAGAGUUGAUAAGAAAUUGAAUGUUAUUCAUUAUGCUAGUAAAACUCUAGACAGUGCUCAACGAAAUUAUGCUACUACUGAAACAAAAUUCUUAGCAGUGGUGUUUUCUUGUGAUAAAUUUAGAUCUUAUAUUGUUGAUUCAAAAGUAAUUGUUCACACCGAUCAUGAUGCUAUUAAAUAUCUUAUGGAAAAGAAAGAUGCUAAACCUAGACUUAUUCGUUGGGUUCUCUUGCUAUAAUAAUUUGAUUUACAUAUCAAUGAUAUAAAAGGAGUUAAGAACCCCGUAGCUGAUAACUUGUCUAGGCUUGAAAAUGUGCUUGAUGACCCACUACCUAUUGAUGAUAGUUUUCCCGAUGAGCAGUUAGCUGCAAUAAAUGUUGCUCACAAUACUCCUUGGUAUGCUAACUAUGCUAAUUACAUUGUUGCUAAAUAAUUACCACCUAGUUUUACAUAUCAACAAAAGAAAAAAUUCUUCUAUGAUUUAAGACACAACUUUUGGGAUGACCCACAUCUUUAUAAAGAAGGAGUAGAUGGUAUUAUUAGACGUUGUGUACCUGAGCAUGAACAGGGAUAAAUCCUAUGGAAAUGUCACUCCAAAGCUUAUGGAGGGCAUCACGCUGGACAUAGAACUGCUCACAAGGUAUUGCAAUCUAGAUUUUAUUGGCCUACUCUCCUCAAGGAUGCUCGUAAGUUCAUCUUAUCUUGUGAUGAAUACCAAAGAAUAGGUAAUAUCAUAAGCGUCAAGAAAUGCCUAUGAAUUAUUCACUUGCUGUUGAACCAUUUGAUGUUUGGGGAUUUGAUUACAUGGGACCUUUUCCUUCUUCUAAUGGGUAUACACAUAUUUUGGUUGUUGUUGAUUAUGUUACUAAAAGGGUAGAAGCUAUUCCAACCAGUAGUGCUGAUCACAACACCUCUGUUAAAAUGCUUAAGGAAGUUAUCUUCCCAAGGUUUGGAGUCCCUAGAUAUUUAAUGACUGAUGGUGGUUCACACUUUAUUCAUUGUGCUUUUCGUAAAAUGCUUGUCAAGUAUGAUGUUAACCAUAGAAUUGCAUCACCUUAUCAUCCUCAGUCUAGUGGUCAAGUUGAACUUAGAAAUAGAGAAAUAAAAUUAAUUUUACAAAAGAUUGUGAAUAGGUCAAGGAAGAAUUGGUCUAAGAAAUUAGAUGAUGAACUUUGGGCUUAUAGAACAACAUAUAAAAAUCCUAUGGGUAUGUAUCCUUAUAAAAUGGUUUAUGGAAAAGCUUGUCAUUUGCCUCUUGAGUUAGAACAUAAAGCAUAUUGGGCAAUCAAAGAACUCAAUUAUGAUUUCAAACUUGCCGGUGAAAAGAGGUUAUUUGAUAUUACAGAUGAAUGGAGAACCCAAGCUUAUGAAAAUGCAAAAUUAUUCAAAGAAAAAGUUAAAAGAUGGCAUGACAAAAGAAUCCAAAAGUGUGAGUUUAAAGUCGAAGAAUAUGUUCUUUUGUACAACUCUUGUUUCAUAUUCUUUGCAGGAAAACUCCUCUCAAAAUGGGAAGGCCCCUAUGUCAUCGAGAAGGUUUAUCGUUCUGGAGCCAUCAAAAUAAAUAACGCCGAAGGUACUAACCCGAAGGUUGUUAACGGGCAACGAAUAAAACAUUAUAUCUCAGGUACGCUCAUUAAUGUUGAAAGUAAUAUUAUCCAAACUAUGACACUGAAAGAACACAUAAAAGAGUCCAUUCGGAACACUCCAAAAUCGUCAAAAUAAGGAGGUACGUGAUACGGUAAGUAAACAGACUCCAAAAAAUCCGCAAAAAUAUUUUUUGUCGGUUUUGGAAUAUUUAGAAAAAUAGGAAAAUAAGAAACUUCCAGGAAGCAUACCCUGGUGGGCACAAGACACCAGGGCGCACCCCCAGGUGGGUUGUGCCCACCUGGGGUACCUUCCGGACUCCGGUUUUCUACAGUUUGCUUGUUUCCCAAGAUAAAAAAAUCUUUAUAUACCCCCUGAACCUGUUGAUCACCGUAUCAUGGAGAAAUCCUCUAUUUUCUUUUCUUGCUAUUUUUGGUCAGAUCUGUUGAGUCAGGCAUCAUGUCUUUCUCGUCCUACGACAAUGGAGAAGGGGACGCAGGGGUAUUUUAGGAGGAUCUAAGGGGAGAGGAAGCUGAAGAAGUUGCUAUGGAGGAAGAAUAGGAAAAUCCUUCUGGGGUUCACCCUCCGACUUCCGAUAGAGGGAUAUUGGCUAGCAUCUCCACUCAUCCGAAUCCUCAUUAAGCUAUGAUAUCGUCAAAUAAUCAAGAGAGUCUCGAAGUGCAAGAGGAAGCCCCACCAAGAAGGCCUUUACACAGGUUACAUCGUAAAAAAAUUCGCAAUUUGAUUCAUAACUAUGGGUUCAAGAAUACUCCUCGUAGGCACAUACCAUCCAAUUGGGACAUAUCUCGCCCGAGAGAAAAUAGUGCAAGAGCAAAUCCCUAGGGCCCGAAAAAUAAGCACAUAAUGGUUGAAGUGAAGAAAAACAGGGAGUUACUUAAUCAAGCCCUUCGGGAGAUCCAAGGUUUGAAAGAUCUACUCAUGGUUAUAUUGGAGAAUACAUCACCACCACCUUCUUCUUCAUCACCAAAAGAGAAUUGAGUAUCGGGUAUGGGCACUCCCCUUGGCUUCUGCCAAGCUUGGGGGGGGGGUGCCUCGGUAUUGUGUCAUCCCCACUAUCUUUUGCCCUUACUUAUUUUAGUUCGAUCUUUUGCUUUAGAUGAAUAAAAGUUUAGUUUGAUCCUUUCUUUUUGAGAGUUUUCUUAGUGAUCUAUCCUUGUAAUCGUCUGCGAGAUAUAUAAUAAAGUUUAGUUUGAGUUUUUGUUUUCUUUAUUUUCAUGUUGCAUUUAAAAGAAAGGAAACAAUAAAAGGAAAGGAAAUAAAUAAAAAAGAUCAUAUGCUAAUCUUAUGGUAGGUGAUGACACCACAUAAGGAAAAGUAUAAGUAGAAAAUUUUAUUAGAGAUUGACAAACAUAGCAUUAGUCAAUGAUGCAACUCAUGAAAGAAUUAAUAAAGGAAGGGAAGAUUCAUAUAUAAAUAUACUAUCCUAGAAAUCUUUUGUGAUUGUGAGCCCUCAUCAAAAUAUUAUAUGCAAAAAUUGUUGACGUUGGACAAGGAAGACAACCUAAUGGUUUAUGUUUGUUUAUAUUCACAUAGAAGUCAUAUUGUCAUAGAUCCUUUAACAUGUGGUGCUUUCCCCUACCUUUGCUAGCCAAAAAUUCCGCACCAGGUAGAGAUACUACUUGUGCAUCCAAAAACCCUUAAAUCCAAAUCUUAUUUUCAAGAGUCCACCAUACCUACCUAGGGAUUGAGCAAUAUCCCUCAAGUAAGUUGUCAUCGGUGCAAAAAGGCAAUAAAAAUUGCUUCUAAAAGUGUGAGAUCGUUUAGUGUAACAGAAAAUUGAGCGUUGCACGAACUUGUGAUGUUGAAGAAUAAAAGCGACAAACUUCAUAAUAAAGGUCGCUAUCACAAGGGGCAAUGCAACGUGACGUUCUUUUGCAUUAAGGAGUUGAGCAUACAAACAAAUAAGCGCAUGACAACCUCUGCUUCCCUCUGCGAAGAGCCUAUCUUUUACUUUUAUGUAUUUACUUUUAUGCAACGAGUCAAAGUUUUCUCUCUAUUACUUUUUAUUUUCUCCUUUGGCAAGCAUCAUGCAGCGAGGAAAGAUCUAGGCACAUAUGUCCAGUUGAAUGUACAAAGCAUGAGUUAUUAUUGUUGACAUGACCCUUGAGGUGAAUACGUUGGGAGGCGAAAUUAUAAGCCCUAUCUUUCUAUGUGUCCGGUUGAAACAUUUUGCUCAUGGGUAUGCGGUGACACUACUGCAGGAUGCUGCUAACGCGACACUACGAUCAGAGACCCUUCGAGAAACUAUGUACGAUGCCGUAAUCGCAAACAGUGGUGUAUAAAAACCGUCAAAAAGGUGAAAAACUUUUGCGAUGGAGGAUGCAUCAAACGCGGUUCAUAUUUUAGUAGCGUGUGCGAUUCAGGCCACACGGUUAACCUGUUCGAACUAUUUGCGAUGAGGCAGAACAAUAGAAACGGGCAACCAUAUCAAUGUGCGUGCGAUAUACGGCAUACAGUUCGUUUGCUAUUAGGGAGUGCAACAUAAACGGUUAGCCACAUCAAGGUGUGUGUGAUAUAGGGCAUAUUGUUCACUCGGACGAACUAUUUUCGAUUAGCGAACGCAACAGAAAGGGUUCAACUUAACAAGAUGUGUGUGAUACAUGGCAAACAGCCGACUUGGAUGAACUAUUUGCGAUGAGAAUUUACAACACAGACCAUUAACAUAGUUAGUUCGUGUGCGAUUCUGUGUGUACAAAAAACUUUGAAAAAUGCAAACUAGUUACUUGCGGUGGCUAGGAGUAUCGCACAUGAUGCGUCUGCGAGUACUCGUGUGCGAUGAUUAGUAAGUUACACAUGCAUUUCCUUAUGUUAACACUUGUGUGAUAAAUAACACGUGGCACCGGCUACGGUAUUCGGGUUGUGUGUGUGAUCUACUUAGUCUUCUCGUGCUCCAGCGAAUGAUUCCCGCGCUCCACAUGGGUGAAUUGUAAAAUCCACACCUAUUCCCUCACUGGUUUCCCGCCACCAUCUAACGGCUUGCUGCAUAUAACCCAGGCGGCAACGCACCGCCGCGACACUCUGCGAAGAUUUAGUCCUCACCCAUCUACCAUUAGUUAUUCCAAGCAUGUCAGGCAACGACCAAAUCUUCGACGUCGACGCCUACCUGCGUUACAUCUUCGGCGAGGAGAAAGAGUCAGAGCAGGUCAGGGAGCAAGAGCUUCAUCGGCCGGUGCAGGCACCAUGGCCCAUCGGCAGCGAUAUCGGCGUCGCAGUCCUUGGGAGCACAAUUGACAUAUUGCAAAGGAGGUGUGAUGAGCAGUUUGCCAUCCACCGUGCAAAAGGUCCAGAGCUGCUCGGCGGCAUGAUCGACGACCCACCCGAACAACCACCAUCACCAGUGCUCAUCGAGAGCCUGAUGCCCCACAAGGAAUGGGCACAGGACCUCUGCGAUUCAGUCAAGACAAAGGCAGCCUGCGGCUUCAUCAUUGCCCGCGACGGCCGUGUCAACCUCGAUCCCGAUGAUGUGGUGGCCAGGCUCGAGCGCAUCCUUGGUGGAGGUGAUGUCCCCGACGAAGUAGAACAUCGCCAACAUGAUAUCUUGAGGAUGCAGGUGAUCAGCGGAAUUUGCUACUAGGCCAGAGACAUGGAAAUGGAGCGGUCACGCGGAGUUGUCAUGCAUGCGAUUGCACACUGUCAAGCUCUUCUGGAAGAGGCCCAGCAGCCCCAAGAGCCUCCCAUCAGCGCCAGCAGCUCCAUAGGCGAAGGCGGGUCGGGACACUCCGAGUGAACGGCUGCAAGGGUGCUAUGCUGAUCAUGGAGUCCGAGCAGACCAUCAUCGGAAGGCCGUCAGCUCAGUCUUUUAGCUUAUAUUUUAUUAUAAUUGUAUGCAUAUGUAAGCCAUGAGUGUUCUGGGCCUUGCCGCAUUUGGCAUUUUAAAUUAUUCUGAAUAUGUAAGACAAUUAUUAAGAAUUAUUAACAGUUGCCAUUGUAAGUUUGCCUCAACGGCGAGCAAAGCGCGCGCAGGGAUGCCACAGCGGAGCGCGCCACGGCCGCCUCAACGGCGAGCAACCACGUGGUCAACCUUCUGCCAUCAAUAAAUUUUGGCCUUGUUUCUCGUCACAUUGCUGAUUACAAUGCAAUAAGUAAUUGCAAAUCUGUUCACACCUCUCAAACUAAUAUGUGUUGACACUUAGCACCGGGCUAUAAAAACUACCCACUCGAAAAUUACUUCACAAUUCCUCUCCUCAUCACCCACAAAAUUGGUUUCUUUGUCAAGUCGUUCCGCCAUGACCGGUAGGAGGAGUUUAGGGUGGACAUAUAACCAGGCAGCAAAGACCAAGGCCACGGAAGCACUAGAAAGGCCCCGCCGUGAAGCUGCAGCCGCAGCAGAGAUGUCCGGGCGCGCCGCAGAGCCCUUGAGUGAGCUCUCACGGGCACGCGGGGGCUCUCACAAGCGCAUUCGCGGCGUCGGCCAUCGCGACGAGCCAACGUUCCUGAAGUCCUUCGCCGGCGAUGACAACAUUCUCGCUGGCGUCACUACGCAGCAGGAGCUGGUCGACGGCUUGAUGAAGCUGCUCAAGAUCAACGAUGCCUCGGUUGACAAGGCGACUGGCCUUGUCGAGCAACUCAUGGAUGAUAAUGCGAAGCUCCUCAAGUUGGUCGCCGAGAAGGAGGAGGAGGUCGCCGGAUGGAAGAUGCUGCAUGAGCAGAGCAGUGCCUCAGAGAUGACACUAAAAGCGGUCGUCGAGGAACUGAUGGGUGGCUUGAGGAAGCUCCGGAUCGAGCGCGAGCAGGAGGUGGAGGAAUCCGUGGCUGCUUUCAAGCAAAGUCAUGAGGAAUUGAAGAAGGAGUUGGAGGAUUUCGCCGCCCGGCGAUCCAUCGACGAGUAGAGACAGUAGCAACCCAGAUUGUUGUCUGCAAUUUACUUCUUCUCUUGCCCCCGUGUCUUCCGGGCUUUGCUGCAUGUGGCAUUUUAAAUUAUCCGGAAUAUGUAAGACAAUUAUUAUGUGCUCCAUUGUAAAUUUGUCGUCGUAUUAUCCAUUGCCAUUUUAUUUGUGGUUGUAUUAUCCGUUGCCCUAUGUGGCAAUUUAAAUUAGGGCGGAAUACUAGUUGAAAACACGAACAAAGAAAAUGCUGCCAUGGGAUCACAAGCAAACACCCUUCGUUCAGGUGCUUUAAUUAACCCAUUAAUGGAGAAGUUGUGAGCGAGGCGGGCGGCAGCUGGUGCAUGGAGGUCAAAGAGCUCGCCUCCCGGUGAGCAUGGGCGGCCUUACUGCUCGCACGUGUCCCGUCGAGCCUGCGAGGUGGACAGGAUGCACGCGUCCCGUCGAGCCUGUGCGGUGGACUGCUCACACGCGUCCCGUCGAAGCUGCACGGCGGACUUCUCGCACUCGUCUCGUCUAAUCAAAUAGCUGCAUGCACGCCACCGAGUAUGGUUAAAUUUUGACACGGUAAAUAUAAUACAACCAUUUGCGAUAUUAACGUGUCAGUUUUUUUCCAAAAAGGACUUCGUUGGCUACUAAUGUAUGCGCCUCUUCUCAAACUGGACGAUUUUUCUUAUCACGGUAUAUAUGUGCCAUGUCAUGAAACCAUGCCAAGUUUCAUGUUUUUUGGGUGACUUUUUUUAUUAUUCUCAUUGUUUCAGGACGACGACAAGUUUGUAAUUCAUUCUCAUUCCUUAAACGAGACCUAAACAUGCACCCAAUGACACAUGUACGAUUUUCCACCCAUUUUGCUUCACUGGAGCAUGUGGUUGUAGUUCAAAUUUUCAUUAUGGACUACACUAAAUGCAUAGAAAACUUAGUAAUUAGUAAUAUAUAUACAAUGGCCAAAAGAACCCUAAACAGUUUCAAAUUUUAGCCUGACACUCCUUUUAUUCUAUGUUGCCUAUAGAAAACAAAGUUCAAGGCGAGAAGAGGCAUCGAUUAUCGUUUCGCCCACAAGAGGGGCAUGUUUUCCUACCGGAACCACGAGGGUUGCGACAGGCUCCAGUUUGUAAAAGGCUUCUAAUAUAGCUUCGCCCAAAUUGGACAAUUAUAUAUACCAUGUAGUGACGCCAUACCAAGUUUCAUGAUUUUCUGGUGAGUUUUGGAUUUACAGACAUUUAAAAACCGAGAUUCACAAUGUUUGUGGCCAGGCCAGGACGGCGAGACGGUUGAAUUCGUUCCCAUUUGUUCCAUGGAACCUAAACAUGCACCCCAAGGAAACAUAUACGUUUUUUCUAGCCAUUUUGGUGCACUGGAGCAUGUAUUUGUAGUUCGGAUUUGAAUGAUGGACAUUAAAUGUCUAGAAAACUCAAUUAGUGAAUAAAAAGGUCAAACAAACCCUGAAUAAUUUCAAAGUUCAGCCCGAAUCUCCAGUUGUUUCGUGUCGCGUGUAGAAGAAAAUACGAGGCUAGAAGAGGGAAUGAUUAUUGUUUGGCCCACAAGGGGACAUAUUUCCCUAUCAAAACCACGAGGGUUCUUGCGAUAGGCUCUGGUUUGUAAGAGGUUUGCAAUAAAGCUUGGCCCAAAUUGACAAUGUUUUACCAUGACAUAUAUGUGCCAUGACAUGGCACCUUGCCACCUUUGAUGACUUUCUGGUGAGUUUAGGAUUUAUGGGACUUAAAAACCGAGAUUCGAAAUGUUUGAGGAAGAGCCAGGACACCGGUACGGUUGUAAUUCGUUCCCAUUCCUAGCAUGAGACCUAAACAUGCAUCAUGUGACGCCCAGAUAAUUAAGCUACAGUAAUUCCCUACUAAUGAUACCACAUCACCUCUGUCGCUGGAGUUAAUCUCGGGUUAGUUCAAAACCGAUUCAAAUUCAAAAUUUAAUUAAAGGCAAACAACAAAAGUUUUCAAACAUUUAAACUAAAAUGUUCAAGUUGUGCCAAAUAAUGCAACGGUAAUUGUGGUGAAGAAACCCCACUUUUAGAAAAUGUUUAAAGGCACUAAAAUAAAUAAAACAGCAGGUAAAACAAUUAAGUAAAUACCUUUUAUAGUUAUCUAGCACAUAUGCCCGUGCGUUGCAACGGGAAAUAUAAUGAUGUAUCCAUCGAAAGGCCCAACAACAUCCGAAUGAUGCCACCCGACAAUGGCAGGAAGGCGCGCAACGGGCAUGGCUAAUUCACGCGAAUUCAGGUGGGUGAAAUUAGUUAAUGUGGGCCCCACAAUUGAAUUUGGGGUGAUUAGUUAGUGUGGGCCCAUCCUUGAAUUUACCGGGGUAGAGAAAUUAAUUAUGGUGAGGAGAGAUUUACGUGGCUUCGUCCCCAGAUGCGUCGUAGAGCAUUGCAACACUCGCAGGCGAGCAAGUCUUUUCCUAAUUCUACAUUGGAUACAAUGCUUAUGAUACGAUUUUUGUAUGACCAUUCUGAUUUUAAAAGGCCCCCUAAUUUUCAAAUCUUAAAGGCAUUUUUUGUUAGUUGCCAUGAAAACAAUCUCACGAAAAGGAUUCUGACACUUUUUUACACAUACAAUACUUUUGAUACAAUUUCUGGUCAACAAUUCUGACCCUAAAGGACCCCCUAAUUUUCAAAUCUUAAAGUCAUUUCUUAAUUGUCAAACUGUCCUUCCUUAUUUAUGUAUAUUGAUCAUGCCCUCGUAUUAUAAUUCCUUUGCAACAUAUUAUUAUCUCCUUCCUUAUUUAAGCCCACGUAAUAUAUUUGCAAGGUCGUUCUCUCCUUUUUUUUAGGAGCUCGCCUUUCUUAUUUUGCCCAAGGAUCACACGCUGGUAUUAUAUGGUCAUUAUACCCGCCUUCCUCCUUAUUUUUGCCCAUUGAUCACACGCUGGUAUUAUAUGGUCAUUAUCCUCUUCUUCCUUUUUCUUUUUGCGAAACUCUCUUUCCAUAUUUUAUGCCCGCUAAUCACGCCACUCUUUUUCCUUAUUUAUGCCCGCUGAUCAUGCCACACAUCUCAUCUCAUGAAAUCUAAGCCGUAUGUCAGCCAUCUUUGUUGCCAUUAAUUCUUGAGGCUGCUUAUUGAUUUUGAAUUGAAAACAUCACUUCUGCUUCGGUAGACCCUCCUAAUCACAUCAAUGGCUAAGAUUACCCUAUACCCCUUCAUAAUAAAAGGCAGGAUUGUUUUUUUUUCAAAGUACUUAGUCUGGUAAGAUUUGUUUUUAGAGAAGAGAACUCCGGUAAGUGGUCUGCGUACGAUACGAGGGGCUAGUAGAGGCAAGAAUUCAACGUUUUGCACCUGAGCCGGCCCAUUUGUGGGUGCGCCGUUUUCAAUGGGAGAAAAAUCGCGAGAAAAAGAUGAGGGCGAUGGGAAUCGAACCUGAGUUUAUGUGCAUGCUGUCCUAACCACCGGGACUACCAAUUUGCUGUGCCAGACUUCUAGCGCAAAUCAUUAAUUAAGAAACUAAAGGCCACUAUACUAAAUGGGAUUUGGUGUCCAAAAAGGUAGUCCAGCCUAUAUGAACCAUAAGCCACGAAAUUAUUUAAAAAAAAACUCGGACCUCAUUUUCUUAUUGGAAAAAGUAAAUCUUUUUAGAGACGCGGUCAUCUAAAAUUUUGUGAUAAUUUCAAAAGAACUAGAAGAUUUUGUGAGAACGUGAAUGUUUUGUGGGAAUCAUAAAAGGAACAAAACUGAAAACGAUAUUUUUUUGGAAUAGGGAACAAUUUUUUGGGAAAUGCGAACAUUUUCAAAUUUGUGAUUUAAAAAAACUAAAACAUUUUGUGAAAACACAAGACUCUCAAACAUUUGUUUUACACAGGAAAAAACAUUGAAAAGGAGAACAUUUGUUGAAACAAGUAACUAAACUGAAAACACGAACAUUUUUCAAAAAUUGUUUCAAAGUGCAAACAUUUUUUAAAAUUCCCCAAACAUUUAUUGAAUUUGCGAACAACUGCUGAAAUCAAGAAUAUUUUUUGUACUUGAGAACAAAUUCUUUAACCUCAUCGUCUUGAUUACACUGCUUGCCAUCCGACUACAACCGCUUGUGAUAUUUAAAAACAGGAAAUGUAUAAGGGUCAACCACCAAAAUUUUCCAGCAGUUGGGCAUGCGCAACAUUGUCCCCCAUGCAAAAUAUGAACAAAUUUAAACACCAAACGCACGUUGUGUCACAUCUGGCAUGUGUUUUAGAGUUUUUUUUAUCGGAAAACCCUAGAAAAAGCAUAUAAUGUCUGAGACCAACGAAACUUGGCAUGCAUGAUGUCCAAGGUAAUGCCAAUGUGUGAUAAAAAAUUGGAUGCCUUCGAAGGAGAUGGAAAAAAAUGGUUCGGCAUGUUUGGUUGCAAGCAUGAUAUGUCACCAAAUUUUGCCAGCGGUUGGGCAUGCCCAAGUUUGUCCGUCAUGCAAUUGAACGAAUUCGGACACCUAACAAACAUUACGUCUCGUCCGGCCUGUGUUUUAGAGUUUUUUCACUGGAAAAACCUAGGAAAAGCAUAGAAUGUCAUAAACCAACAAAACUUGGCGUGCAUGCUGGCCAUGGUGAUGCCAAGGUGUGGAAACAAUUUGAGCGCGUCCGAAGGAGGUGAAAAGAAAAGUGGUUCGAGACUUGCCCUUCCGGUCUACCCGAACGUACCAGAUUAUACACACUGUGUUCGGUUUCAACCAUGAAAUGACACCAAAUUUUGCCAGUUGUUGGGCAUGCCCAAGCCCCCCUCCCCCCACGCAAAACUUGAACGAACUCGGAUACCAAACACACGUUGCGUCACGUCCGGCUAGUGUUUAGGAUUUUUCCAAUGGGAAAACCUAGAAAAUGCAUGAAAUGUCGAAGACCAACAAAACAUGGCAUGCAUGCCAGGCAUGGUGAUGCCAAGGUCUGGAAAAAAAAUUGGGUGUGUUUGGACGAGGUAGAAAAAAGGGGGUUUGAAACAUGUCCUUCCGGCCUACCCGAAUGUACCAGAUUGUAGACAAUGUGUUUGGUUACAAGCAUGAAACCAUUGAAAAAGUUCCAUGUGCUCAUGAAUUUUUUCUAAGAAAAUCACAAAUUUGAAAUAAAAUCGCAGACUCAAAAAAGUUCAUGAAUUUGAAAUAAAAUCGCAGAGUCGAAAAAAAUCAUGAAUUUGAAAAAAGGUCAUGAGUUUGCGGAAGUUCAUUAAAAAACAAAUCAUAAAUAUUUAAAAGUUCUGUGAAUUAAGAAAAAAAAAUUAGAAAGAAAUAAGGAAAAUGAAAAGAAAUAAAAACCAAAGAACAAGGGCUAAACUGAAGAAAACCAAGCGGUUAACACAUGCACUUUUUAUUAGCGUUAUAUUCGGAUAAGUAGUAGGAAAGAAGUUUAAUGGCAAGACAGUUAGAGUAUCCCACUGGUUAGCAGCCUCACUACUAGAGGUUGACAGUCUUGGUUCGAAUCCUACGAAGAACAGCUUCUAUUUUUUUUUGUUUUUUAAUACUGAAAAGAAAGAAAGAAAAACGUAAAUAGGCCAGGCCCGUCUAAGGAGCAACUAACACUGUAUUGACGCCUAGGCCAACGUACGGCCGUAUAUAUUCCAUGGUCUACGGCACGUAAAAGGUCCAUAUUACCCUUUAUAUGUUUUAUGAGGGGGGUUUACCGAAGCGCUUCCCUGAAAACAUAUAUAAAUUGGUCAAAUGGAUUGUAAAGCAGCAAGGUGGUACUAAUUUAUAAAGAAACUAACCUUUUGUUUGCAUAUAGAUGCUUUAGUUUUGUUGGUUGCAGCCUUGGGCCUUGACGUGCAACGUUGGGAGUUCAAUCCAACGUGAAGACAUUUACUUUUUGCCAGCGUGACAGACGAAAAUUGACGUACCAAACCAGGGAAAGGACAGAUGAAAUUACGGUGGUAAGAAGCAAAUAGCCCCUUUAUUAAUAGGUAUUCUUAAAUGUCAAACUGUCCUUCCUUAUUUAUGUAUAUUGACCAUGUCCUCAUAUUAUAAUUCCUUUGCAACAUAUUAUUAUCUCCUUCCUUAUUUAAGCCCACAUAAUAUCUUUGCAAGAUCGUUCUUUCCUCUCUUUUUUAGGAGCUCGCCUUCCUUAUUUUGCCUAAGGAUCACACGCUGGUAUUAUAUGGUCAUUAUCCUCGCCUUCUUUCUUAUUUUUGCCCAAGGAUCACACACUGGUAUUAUAUGGUUAUUAUCCUCUCCUUCCCUUUUCUUUUUGUGAAACUCUCUUUCCAUAUUUUAUGCCCGCUAAUCACGCCACUCUUUUUCCUUAUUUAUGCCCACUGAUCAUGCUACACAUUUCAUCUCAUGAAAUCUAAGCCGUAUGUCAGCCAUCUUUGUUGCCAUUAAUUCUUGAGGCUGCUUAUUGAUUUUGAAUUGAAAACAUAUAUAAAUCAGUCAAACGGAUUGUAAAGCAGCAAGGUGGUACUAAUUUGUAAAGAAACAAACCUUUUGUUUGCAUACAUAUGCUUUAGUUCUGUUGGUUGCAGCCUUGGGCCUUGACGUGCAAUGUUGAGCGUUCGAUCCAACGUGAAGACGUUUACUUUUUGCCUAAUCUCGGUUUCACGUCAUAUUUUUUUCCUGGGCUGAUUUUGGGCAAGGCCCAGGCGAUUUAGCCCAGCCUGUAUGCAAAGUUGCAUCGAGGAUGAAGCGUAAGAGCAGCGUGACGGACGAAAAUUGACGUACCAAAGCAGUGAAAGGACAGACGAAAUUACGAUGAUAAGAAUCAAUAGCCUCUUUAUUAGUAGGUAUAAAUAUAAUAUUAAACUAAUUUAAUUGGGCACUAAAAACUUUCUAUGACACUGGUCUAACUUGAUAUGCUAAUCUAGGUGCUAAAGAUGUGUUUUACAAAACUAAAAUAAUUAGAUCCUAAAAUAUAAACAAAAAAGAAAAGUAAAACAAAAAACAUAGCAAAAAUAAAAAGAACGAAGGAAGACCCUCCCCUGGACCGUUCGACCCAACAGGGCUACCAGGCCCCUCCUGGCCGGCCCACCCCGCCUCCCUUAUUCCCCACUCCCCCCAUGACCUAGCGCANNNNNNNNNNNNNNNNNNNNNNNNNNNNNNNNNNNNNNNNNNNNNNNNNNNNNNNNNNNNNNNNNNNNNNNNNNNNNNNNNNNNNNNNNNNNNNNNNNNNNNNNNNNNNNNNNNNNNNNNNNNNNNNNNNNNNNNNNNNNNNNNNNNNNNNNNNNNNNNNNNNNNNNNNNNNNNNNNNNNNNNNNNNNNNNNNNNNNNNNNNNNNNNNNNNNNNNNNNNNNNNNNNNNNNNNNNNNNNNNNNNNNNNNNNNNNNNNNNNNNNNNNNNNNNNNNNNNNNNNNNNNNNNNNNNNNNNNNNNNNNNNNNNNNNNNNNNNNNNNNNNNNNNNNNNNNNNNNNNNNNNNNNNNNNNNNNNNNNNNNNNNNNNNNNNNNNNNNNNNNNNNNNNNNNNNNNNNNNNNNNNNNNNNNNNNNNNNNNNNNNNNNNNNNNNNNNNCGCGCGUGUGCGCCUUGGCUCGCUGCUGCUCGUGGACGUCGCCCGCUAGCCAUCGCCGUCCGCCCGCGCCAUCUCCCUACUCGCGCCACGGCCGCGCCACAGCUUGCGCCCGCCUGCACCGCACCUAGUGCGCCUCUCCCUCCUGCUCGCUGCUUCUCCGGCGCGGCUCUGCCCGUGCCACCGUGCAACCGCUCAGUCCGGCCUCGAUCGCGCACCCGCGUCCGACCACCCAACCACAGCGACCCUCCCGCCUUACGCCCCACCUCGUCAUCUCACCGCCACCACGACUUCCCGCGACUGCUACUACACUGCGGCCGCGCGCCGUCGCCGUCCCGUUGCCGCUCCGGCUGCCUGGGGAGCAAUGUGGCCACCGACCUCCUCUGCUCCGGCGCCCUGCCGGGUCCGCCCGCCCCUGGGCGUGCGCCCGCUCGGGCUGCGCCCCGCGCCCGAACCCACUAAGGCCCCUAGGGCCAAAUGACAUGUGGGGCCUAGCCCCAGAACGUUAUUUAAAAAAAGGAAUUAAUAAAAUAAAUAAAUAAAUAUUAAUUAUUUUAUUUAUUGAAGAAUUAAUUAAAUUAAUUAACCCUGAUUAGAUUAGCCUAAUUAACUAAUUAAUGUAAUUAACUAUUGUUAAUUUACUAACUGUGAAUGACAUGCGGGACCCACAUGUCAGAUUGACAAAGUCAACACCCUGUUGACUGCUGACAUCAUGAGGUUUGUAGACGUUGUUGGGCCUCCAAGUUGAUGUUGAUACAAGUGGUGACAUUAGGGUUUGUAGGACAGUAGCAAAUUUCCCUCAAGUGGAUGACCUAAGGUUUAUCAAUUCGUAGGAGGCAAAGGAUGAAGAUGGUCUCUCUCAAGCAACCCUGCAACCAAAUAACAAAGAGUCUCUUGUGUCCCCAACACACCCAAUACAAUGGUAAAUUGUAUAGGUGCGCUAGUUCGGUGAAGAGAUGGUGAUACCAGUGGUAUAUGAAUAGUAGAUAAAGGUAUUUGUAAUCUGAAAUUAUAAAAACAGCAAGAUAACUAAUGAUAAAAGUGAGCAUAAACGGUAUUGCAAUGCGUGGAAAUAAGGCCUAGGGUUCAUACUUUCACUAGUGCAAGUCCUCUCAACAAUAAUAACAUAAUUGGAUCACAUAACUAUCCCUCAACAUGCAACAAAGAGUCACUCCAAAGUCACUAAUAGCGGAGAACAAACGAAGAGAUUAUGGUAGGGUACGAAACCACCUCAAAUCGAUUCUUUCCAAUCAAUCCGUUGGGCUAUUCCUAUAGGUGUCACAAACAGCCCUAGAGUUCGUACUAGAAUAACACCUUAAAACACAAAUCAACCAAAACCCUAAUGUCACCUAGAUACUCCAAUGUCACCUCAAGUAUCCGUGGGUAUGAUUAUACGAUAUGCAUCACACAAUCUCAGAUUCAUCUAUUCAACCAACACAUAGAACCUCAAAGAGUGCCCCAAAGUUCCUACCAGAGAAUCACGACGAGAACGUGUGCCAACCCCUAUGCAUAGGUUCAUGGGCGGAACCCGCAAGUUGAUCACCAAAACAUACAUCAAGUGAAUCACGUGAUAUCCCAUUAUCACCACAGAUACGCACGGCAAGACAUACAUCAAGUGUUCUCAAAUCUUUAAAGACUCAAUCCUAUAAGAUAACUUCAAAGGGGAAACUCAAUCCAUUACAAGAGAGUAGAGGGGGGAGAAAACAUCAUAGGAUCCAAAUAUAAUAGCAAAGCUCGCGAUACAUCAAGAUCGUAUCACCUCAAGAACACGAGAGAGAGAGAGAGAGAGAUCAAACACAUAGCUACUGGUACAUACCCUCAGCCCCGAGGGAGAACUACUCCCUCCUCGUCAUGGAGAGCACCGGGAUGAUGAAGAUGACCACCGAAGAGGGAUUCCCCCUCCGGCAGGGUGCCGGAACGGGUCUAGAUUGGCUUUCGGUGGCUACGGAGGCUUCUGGCGGCGGAACUCCCGAUCUAUUGUGCUCUCGGAUGUUUUUAGGGUAUAUGGAGAUAUAUAGGCAGAAGAAGUACGUCAGGGGGGCCACGAGGGGCCCACGAGGGUGGAGGGCACGCCCAGGGGGGUGGGUGCCCCUACCUCGUGGCCUCCUCGAAGCUUCCCUUAUGUGCACUUCAAGUCUUCUGGGCAUCUUUCCUUCCAAAAAUGGGUUCCAUGAAGUUUCAGGUCAAUUGGACUCCGUUUGGUUUUCCUUUUCUUCGAAACCCUAAAACAAGGUAAAAACAGAAACUGCACUGGGCUCUGGGUUAAUAGGUUAGUCCCAAAAAUAAUAUAAAAGUGUAUAAUAAAGCCCAUAAACAUCCAAAAUAGUAGAUAAUAUAGCAUGGAGCAAUCAAAAAUUAUAGAUACAUUGGAGACGUAUCAGCAUCCCCAAGCUUAAUUCCUGCUCGUCCUCGAGUAGGUAAAUGAUAAAAACAUAAUUUUUGAUGCAGAGUGCUACUUGGCAUAAUUUCAAUGUAAUUCUCUUUAUUGUGGCAAGAAUAUUCAGAUCCAUAAGAUUCAAGACAAAAGUUUAAUAUUGACAUAAAAACAAUAAUACUUCAAGCAUACUAACAAAGCAAUCAUGUCUUCUCAAAAUAACAUGGCCAAAGAAAGCUAUCCCUACAAAAUCAUAUAGUCUGGCUAUGCUCCAUCUUCACCACACAAAAUAUUUAAAUCAUGCACAACCUCGAUGACAAGCCAAGCAAUUGUUUCAUACUUUUGAUGUUCUCAAACUUUUUCAAUCUUCAUGCAAUACAUGAGCGUGAGCCAUGGACAUAGCACUAUAGGUGGAAUAGAAUGGUGGUUGUGGAGAAGACAAAAAGGGAGAAGAUAGUCUCACAUCAACUAGGCGUAUCAACGGGCUAUGGAGAUGCCCAUCAACAGAUAUCAAUGUGAGUGAGUAGGGAUUGCCAUGCAACGGAUGCACUAGAGCUAUAAGUGUAUGAAAGUUCAACAAAAUAAACUAGUGGGUGUGCAUCCAACUUGCUUGCUCAUGAAGACCUAGGGAAUUUGAGGAAGCCCAUCAUUGGAAUAUACAAGCCAAGUUCUAUAAUGAAAGAUUCCCACUAGUAUAUGAAAGUGACAACAUAGGAGACUCUCUAUCAUGAAGAUCAUGGUGCUACUUUGAAGCACAAGUGUGGUAAAAGGAUAGUAGCAUUGCCCCUUCUCUCCUUUUCUCUCCUUUUUUUAUUUUUUUAUUUGGGCCUUUUUCUCUUUUUUAUGGCCUCUUUUCUCUUUUUUUAUUUGGGCUUCUUUGGCCUCUUUUAUUUAUUUACUUUCGUCCGGAGUCUCAUCCCGACUUGUGGGGGAAUCAUAGUCUCCAUCAUCCUUUCCUCACUGGGACAAUGCUCUAAUAGUGAUGAUCAUCACACUUCUAUUUACUUAUAACUCAAGAAUUACAACUUGAUUCUUAGAACAAAAUAUGACUCUAUAUGAAUGCCUCCGGCGGUGUACCGGGAUGUGCAAUGACUCAUGGGUGACAUGUAUGGAAGAAUUAUGAACGAUGGCUUUGCCACAAAUAGGAUGUCAACUACAUGAUCAUGCAGAGCAAUAUGACAAUGAUGGAGCAUGUCAUAAUAAACGGAAUGGUGGAAAGUUGCAUGGCAAUAUAUCUCGGGAUGGCUAUGGAAACGCCAUAAUAGGUAGGUAUGGUGGCUGUUUUGAGGAAGGUAUAUGGCGGGUUUAAGGUACCGGCGAAAGUUGCGCGGUACUAGAGAGGCUAGCAAUGGUGGAAGGGUGAGAGUGCGUAUAAUCCAUGGACUCAACAUUAGUCAUAAAGAACUCACAUACUUAUUGCAAAAAUCUAUUAGUUAUCGAAACAAAGUACUACACGCAUGCUCCUAGGGGGAUAGAUUGGUAGGAAAAGACCAUCGCUCGUCCCCGACCGCCACUCAUAUGGAAGACAAUCAAUAAAUAAAUGCUCCGACUUCAUCACAUAACGGUUCACCAUACGUGCAUGCUACAGGAAUCACAAACUUUAACACAAGUAUCUCUCAAAUUCACAACUACUCACUAGCAUGACUCUAAUAUUACCAUCUCCAUAUCUCAAAACAAUUAUCAAGUAUCAAACUUCUCUUAGUAUUCAAUGCACUUCAUAUGAAAGUUUUUAUUAUAUCCCUCUUGGAUGCCCAUCAUAUUAGGACUAAAUUCAUAACCAAAGCAAAUUACCAUGCUGUUUAGGACUCUCAAAAUAAUAUAAGUGAAGCAUGAGAGUUCAUCUAUUUCUUCAAAAUAAAACUACCACCAUGCUCUAAAAUAUAUAAGUGAAGCACUAGAGCAAACGACAAACUACUCCGAAAGAUAUAAGUGAAGAUCAAUGAGUAGUCGAAUAAUUAUGCAACUAUGUGAAGACUCUCUAACAUUUAAUAAUUCCAUAUCUUGGUAUUUUAUUCAAACAGCAAGCAAAGCAAAAGAAAAUGACAUUCUAAGAAUAGCAAACAUCAUGUGAAGAAGCAAAAACUCAGGAUCAACAGAAACUAACCGAUAGUUCUUGAAGAAGAAAGGUGGGAUGCCUACCGGGGCAUCCCCAAGCUUAGAAGCUUGAGACUUCUUGAAAUAUUAUCUUGGGAUGCCUUGGGCAUCCCCAAGCUUGAGCUUUUGUGUCUCCUUAAUUCCUCUCAUAUCAUGGUCUCCCUAAAUCUCAAAAGCUUCAUCCACACAAAACUCAACAAGGACUCGUGAGAUAAGUUAGUAUAAACCAUUGCCAAAACCUUAUCAUACUCUACUGUAGCAAAUCAUUAAAAUUAUUAUUAAAAUUGCAUACUAAAUGCUUCUGCAUAUUUAAUAGUCCUAUCCUCAAAUAGAAUUAUUAAAGAAACAAACAUAUGCAAACAAUGCAAGCAUAAUAGCAAUCUGCCUAAACAGGACAGUCCGUAAAGAAUGCAGCUAGAUCCAUACUUCCCUAACUCCAAAAAUUAUGAAAGAAAAUUCCCACUGUAGUAAAUUUAUCAGAGCUUAAUAUGCAAAAGGUUUGAACAUUUUAUCACAUUCUGAAUUUUCUAGGGAAUUAUUGCAACAGCGGUAAACUUUCUGUUUUCAAACAGCAACAUGAAGACUUGUAAAAUAGGCAUUGUAAAGGUUAUCAAUUCCACUUUUAUUGAAAUAAAAGAUGCAAAACAUUGUUCUAAAUACAGCAAGCAAAUCCUACCAAAAUAAAUUGAUGCUCCAAGCAAAACACAUAUCAUGUGGUAAAUAAAAAUAUAGCUCCAAGUAAAGUUACCGAUGGAAGUAGACGAAAGAGGGGAUGCCUUCCGGGGCAUCCCCAAGCUUAGGCUCUUGCCACUCCUUAUUCCAUAGUCCAUCGAAUCUUUACCCAAAAUUUGAAAACUUCACAACACAAAACUUAAAGUAGAAAACUCGUAAGCUCCGUUAGUAUAAGAAAAUAAAACACCACUUCAAGGUACUGUAAUGAACUCAUUUUUUAAUUAUAUUGGUGUCAAACCUACUGUAUUCCAACUUCUCUAUGGUUUAUAAACUCUUUUACUAGCCAUAGAUUCAUCAAAAUAAGCAAACAACACACGAAAAACAGAAUCUGUCAAAAACAGAACAGUCUGUAGUAAUCUGUAACUAACGCAAACUUCUGGAACCCAUAAAAUUCUCAAAUAAAUUGCUGGCCCUGAGGAAUUUAUCUAUUAAUCAUCUGCAAAAUAAUUAACUAAAUAGCACUCUCCAAAUAAAAAUGUCAGCAAUUCUCGUGAGCGCUAAAGUUUCUGUUUUUUACAGCAUGAUCAUAAAGACUUCACCCAAGUCUUCCCAAAGGUUCUACUUGGCACAAACACUAAUUAAAAGCAUAAAACCACAUAUAAACAGAGUCUACAUGAAUUAUUUAUUACUAAACAGGAACAAAAAGCAAGGAAUAAAAAUAAAACUGGGUUGCCUCCCAACAAGCGCUAUCGUUUAAUGCCCCUAGCUAGGCAUGAUGAUUUCAAUGAUGCUCACAUAAAAGAUAAGAAUUGAAACAUAAAGAGAGCAUUAUGAAGAAUAUGACUAGCACAUUUAAGUCUAACCCACUUCCUAUGCAUAGGGAUUUUGUGAGCAAACAACUUGUGGGAACAAGAAUCAACUUGCAUAGGAUGGUAAAACAAGCAUAACUUCAAAACUUUAAGCACGUAGAGAGGAAACUUGAUAUUAUUGCCAUUCCUACAAGCAUAUAUUCCUCCCUCAUAAUAAUUUUCAGUGGCAUCAUGAAUGAAUUCAACAAUAUAACCAGCACCUAAAGCAUUCUUUUCAUGAUCUACAAGCAUAAAAUUUUUAUUACUCUCCACAUAAGCAAAAUUAUUCUCAUUAAUAAUAGUGGGAGCAAACUCAACAAAAUAAUUAUCAUGUGAGGCAUAAUCCAAUUGAAAACUAAAAUCAUGAUGACAAGUUUCAUGGAUAUCAUUAUUCUUUAUAGCAUACAAGUCAUCACAAUAAUCAUCAUAGAUAGCAACUUUGUUCUCAUAAUCAAUUGGAACCUCUUCUGAAAUAGUGGAUUCAUCACAAAAUAAAGUCAUGGCCUCUCCGAAACCACUUUCAUCAACAUAAUCAUCAUAAAUAGGAGGCAUGCUUUCAUCAUAAUAAAUUUUCUCAUCAAAACUUGGGGGACAAAAAAUAUCAUCUUCAUCAAACAUAGCUUCCCCAAGCUAGUGGCUUUGCAUAUCAUUAGCAUCAUGGAUAUUCAAGGAAUUCAUACUAACAACAUUGCAAUCAUGCUAAUCAUUCAAAUAUUUAGUGCCAAACAUUUUAUAGAUUUCUUCUUCUACCACUUGAGCACAAUUAUCCUUUCCAUCAUACUCACGAAAGAUAUUAAAAAGGUGAAGCGUAUGAGAAAACUUAAUUCCAUUUUUUAGUUUUCUUUUAUAAACUAAACUAGUGAUAAAACAAGAAACUAAAAGACUCGAUUGCAAGAUCUAAAGAUAUACCUUCAAGCACUCACCUCCCCGGCAACAAUGCCAGAAAAGAGCUUGAUGUCUACUACACAACCUUCUUCUUGUAGACGUUGUUGGGCCUCCAAGUGCAGAGGUUUGUAGGACAGUAGCAAAUUUCCCUCAAGUGGAUGACCUAAGGUUUAUCAAUCCGUAGGAGGCGUAGGAUGAAGAUGGUCUCUCUCAAGCAACCCUGCAACCAAAUAACAAAGAGUCUCUUGUGCCCCCAACACACCCAAUACAAUGGUAAAUUGUAUAGGUGCACUAGUUCGGCAAAGAGAUGGUGAUACAAGUGGUAUAUGGAUAGUAGAUAAAGGUAUUUGUAAUCUGAAAUUAUAAAAACAGCAAGGUAACUAAUGAUAAAAGUGAGCGUAAACGGUAUUGCAAUGCGUGGAAAUAAGGCCUAGGGUUCAUACUUUCACUAGUACAAGUCCUCUCAACAGUAAUAACAUAAUUGGAUCACAUAACUAUCCCUCAACAUGCAACAAAGAGUCACUCCAAAGUCACUAAUAGCGGAGAAUAAACGAAGAGAUUAUGGUAGGGUACGAAACCACCUCAAAGUUAUUCUUUCCAAUCAAUCCGUUGGGCUAUUCCUAUAGGUGUCACAAAUAGCCCUAGAGUUCAUACUAGAAUAACACCUUAAGACACAAACAACCAAAACCCUAAUGUCACCUAGAUACUCCAAUGUCACCUCAAGUAUCCGUGGGUGUGAUUAUACGAUAUGCAUCACACAAUCUCGGAUUCAUCUAUUCAACCAACACAUAGAACCUCAAAGAGUGCCCCAAAGUUCCUACCGGAGAAUCACGACGAGAACGUGUGCCAACCCCUAUGCAUAGGUUCAUGGGCGGAACCCGCAAGUUGAUCACCAAAACAUACAUCAAGUGAAUCACGUGAUAUCCCAUUGUCACCACAGAUACGCACGGCAAGACAUACAUCAAGUGUUCUCAAAUCUUUAAAGACUCAAUCCGAUAAGAUAACUUCAAAGGGGAAACUCAAUCCAUUACAAGAGAAUAGAGGGGGAGAAAACAUCAUAGGAUCCAAAUAUAAUAGCAAAGCUCACGAUACAUCAAGAUCGUAUCACCUCAAGGACACGAGAGGGAGAGAUCAAACACAUAGCUACUGGUACAUACCCUUAGCCCCGAGGGAGAACUACUCCCUCCACACCAUGGAGAGCACCAGGAUGAUGAAGAUGGCCACCGGAGAGGGAUUCCCCCUUCGGCAGGGUGCCGGAAUGGGUCUAGAUUGGCUUUCGGUGGCUACGGAGGCUUCUGGCGGCGGAACUCCCGAUCUAUUGUGCUCUCGGAUGUUUUUAGGGUAUAUGGAGAUAUAUAGGCGGAAGAAGUACGUCAGGGGGGCCACGAGGGGCCCACGAGGGUGGAGGGCGCGCCCAGUGGGGUGGGCGCCCCCCUACCUCGUGGCCUCCUUGAAGCUUCCCUCACGUGCACUUCAAGUCUUCUAGGCUUCUUUCCUUCCAAAAAUGGGUUCCGUGAAGUUUCAGGUCAAUUGGACUCCGUUUGGUUUUCCUUUUCUUCGAAACCCUAAAACAAGGUAAAAACAGAAACUGGCACUGGGCUCUGGGUUAAUAGGUUAGUCCCAAAAAUAAUAUAAAAGUGUAUAAUAAAGCCCAUAAACAUCCAAAACAGUAGAUAAUAUAGCAUGGAGCAAUCAAAAAUUAUAGAUACGUUGUAGACGUAUCAUAUACUAUUAGGCCGUGAUCACUCGGAAGGUGAUCACGUGUAUAUACUUAUACAUAAUAUAUGAUACUUGUGGUGACUAAAGUCGGGUCGGCUCGUAGAGUACCCUCGAGUGAUUCACGGAUUGGGACUGAAAGGAUGUUUGUCGUGACGACCCUCUGACUGGACCUUUGUGGCAGAGCGACAGAGCAGGUUGAGACCACCUAGGAGAGAGGUGGGCCUGGCCCUGGUCGGCAUCCAUGGUUAAUUCAAUUAACACGCUUAACGAGAUCUUGGUAUUUGAUCUGAGUCUAGCCACUAGCCUAUACGCACUAACCAACUACGCAGGAACAGUUAUGUGCACUCGACGUCGUGGUAUCAGCCGAAGCCUUCUUGACGUCAGCGAGUGAGCGGCGCGCCCCGGAUUGGACUGGAAUGCUUGUUCUUGUAUUAGGGAGGCUAGAUCUACUUCCGGCCACCCACACAACGUGCAGGUGUGCAAUGGGCGAUGGGCCCAGACCCCUGCGCCAUAGGAUUUAGACCGGCGUCUGACCUCUCUGUUGUGCCUAGGUGGGGUUGCGACGUGUUGACUUCCGAGGCUGGGCUUUUGGGGCAAGGGAAUGUUAUAGGAAAAGAACGUAUCCAAGAAUUUUUCAACUGUGUUGGUAAUUUAAGUCUUGAUGAUGCUCCUAUUCUUAAAAGGACUAAAUCUUAUGCAGAAGCUAUUUCAACACUAGUUCUGAAACUUGAAAAUAAAUUUAUUCGUACCGACCCUACCUUGUAGAGAUUGUUUUUUGAGCUACCCAUUAUAAAGAAUCCUAAAGCUAAAAAGUUGGCCACCCUUGUUCUUAUGAAUGAAUUUGAUUACAUAGUAUGGGAAGCAAGGGAAAUUUUUGAUUUCUAUGGUAUGAAUCGUGAAAAACCGGUGAUAGAUGAAAUUCUUUAUAAUAGUGAUUGUGCAUUAAGACAUUUGCCUGGGAAUAAUCCAAUCUUUGAUGACAAUCUUAAAUAGGAAGUCCCUGUUUUAGAUAUAAUCCAAUAAGUUUUCAAUGAUGUUAAUCAACACUAUUCUUGGAAUGUUGCCGGAAAUCAAAAAGGAUAUGAUGAUAAGCAACUUGAUAGUGCUAAGGUCUAUAUGGAUAAGAUGUUCUAUGUUGUCUUUACCAAACCCCCUAACAAGGACACCUUUAAGCAAAAUAGAAAAAAAGAUGACAAUACUUGAUCCUUUGCAUUAUGCCUAGCUAGGGGCAUAAAAUAAUAGCGCUUGUUGGGAGGCAACCCAAUGAAUAAAAUCUAUUUUUGUCUUUUUUCUUUCUGCUCUUGAGUGUUUGCACAAUUAUGCUACUAUUAUGAUUGUGUUUUUUAUGUUUUAAUUAGUGUUUGUGCCAAGUAAAGCCUUUAGGAUCUUGUUGGGUGAUAGUUCUUGCUGAAAAACAAAAAAAAAAUUCAUUUUUAACAGAAGCGC